CACCACCAGACGGUGGUGGGAAUCCUCCUCCAGGAGGAUUUGUUAUUGGUGGAAAAAUUCCGGGAGGGUUUAUUAUUGGUGGAAGAAUGCCAGGUGGCCUUGUGAUUGGUGGUAGGAUGCCAGGUGGCCUAGUGAUUGGAGGGAUUACAACAGGAGGAUUAACUAUAGGUGGUAAAACUCCAGGUGGCGGUCUAGUCACUGGGGGUGAAAUGCCAGGUGGACGAGUGAUCGGAGGCGAAACGCCAGGUGGACGAGUGAUCGGAGGUGAUACGACAGGUGGAGGAAAGACGAUAGGUGGCAAAACCUUAGGAGGUGGCGGUUUGGUGGUUGGUGGAUGAGGACGGGGAGUCGAUGGUGGAGGGUGGGGUCUACCGGGAGCCUUAGGUGGAUGAGGGUGAUGAUGACCUGGAGAUUUUGGAGGAUGUGGAGGACGCGGAGUAGUGCCAGGUGGACUAGGUCGUUGGUAAGGUGGAUAAGGAGGAGUACAUGGGCAUUGACCAGAUGAAGCAUAAGCUGGUGGUAACAAACAUAUUGACAUGAAAAUCAUACACAUGUAGAACAUUGCUGAAAUCUUUGAUGAACCCAUAAUGCCUCCUCCAAUUUUCUUCUUCUUUUGGGGUUCUAAAAGUGUGGAUGCAUUAUAAAAAAAAACUUUUAUGUUCUUGAUUUUUCUUGUACACUAUAGUUUAUAUAGGUGAAUAUAUGUGUAACCCGUGAAGGGUUAUUACUUGAAAUUGAAGUGAGAGAGCAACACGUAGGUGGAGGAAUUCCAAAGUGAUAGGUGUUGCAAUUGAAAUGAAAACUUUGGAUCUAUGUUCUUUCAUUGCAAGUUGCAACCUUCAACAUCCAAUCCGUGAAUACUGAUUAAAUAGUCCGUGAAUAGUUGCUUUUAGUACUGUAUUUCACAAAGUGUUCAUUUUGCACAGAUUUUAAGGCACUUCAUGUACUGUGCAUUACAUAUUGUAUUCUGGAGUUUCUCCUAAUUUGUUUGGAUAUUGAAUCCUCCUACUAGAAUGCUAAGCUUGAAAGGGAAAUUAAAUCUGAUCUUCUUUUCUAUCGUUCUGAAAAUAAUUAUUUGGUACUUCACAUAACUGAAAAUACUAUGACAACAAAAUAUUUUUUGUUGUAUAUAUAAUAAUAAUAAAUAUUUUUUACACUAUCAAGUGUCCCAAAGAAUAUCUACUGAUAACUCUCGAUAUAACUUUAACUCUUCUUUAAUUUUAUAGACCAAAAACAUCGGCCACAAACGCCUGCAUUCUAUAAGUUACGCUGUAAUCUGAAAUAUUAGCAAAAAAUCUCAGUUUAAUUUGAUUGAAAUGUCUCUUUAGCUUGCUCUAAAAAAAAAAAUCAAACAGUAAAUAGUGAAGUAUUCGUCUUGUUCAUUUCACCAAGGCAUCAUGUGAACCUUUCUUGAGAUUCUUUCAACUUCGAGGUUUCAGUCUUUCAGACUGGAAAAGGGAGCAAAAGAAAAACUUUUAUUUUGGCCUCCACAGUCCACACCAAAGACGAAUAAGUAUGACGAAAAAAUUAUUGCAAUAAUUACCACUCGAUCUAUUGACUUUGAUAUUUAACACAUAUACUAUUAGUUUGUUUGUCUACUUUAACAACAAUAACAACAAAAAUAAAUAUUCAGUGUAAUUUCACAAGUAGAAUUCUCAAUCACAAAUAGAAUUUUGAGAGUUGAUCGGAUUUCGUUUAUCCAGACUACUUUACCCUAUCUUUGUGGAUAAAAGUUGUUUCCAAUCGACUCUUGAUUCAAGAAAAUCGUUUUUUGGGAUAGACUUGAACAACAUCAUAUACGAGUGAAAUAAGUCAUGAUGAGCAUAUUGAAGAAAAAAACACUGAGAGUAUAUAAUCAAUGUAUACACAUUACCUCUCCAAAAAUGAUUGAUAAGCUCAAUCAUCCAAAAAAGGAAAAGAUAUAUACACCUAUACAUAACCUCUUCCAUUAUAGGAAAGUAAAAUCAACUAAUAAAAAUAUUAGCCUUUGUUAAUUUUUUUUCUAUUGCCGAAUACUUGUUAUCUAUCUAGUUGAAAUGGCCCUUCGCCUCUUUUGAUAAUUAACCAAGAAACUGUCAUCCGAAUUGAUUUUGACUCUGUUUGCAUCAAGUUUAAUCCAGUUUAAUUCAUUCUUUCAAUGAUGUAUAUCACACAUCACUAACCAAGUAUACCUUCUAAUUAAUAGGAGUAUCGAUAAACUUAUCUAGCUGAGUUGGUUAGCUACUUAAAUUUUACAUUGUUAGUGAAGAUUAUUCGAUUUUCCACCUUGUAAUCCCUUUCCGUGUUUAUCCUUCCCCUUCCCCUUCCCCAAACCCCAAUAGGAAAAGAUAAAAAAAGAAGCUAAUAUUAAGUAUUGCUUUUCCACCAGAAAUGCUAUAAAUAACAAAGUUAAAUAAUCCAUAUUUUUACCUUUUUCUGAAAAGAGUUAGUUUUGAGUGUUCUAGGAAAAAACAAAGUUUAAUUAAUCACCAUUCACAUGUCUUAUUAGUCUUUACGCACCAUAUUCUUCGGUUUGAACUAAUCAAGAAUUACGUAUUAAACAACUCAUGACUUAUAUCUUUCUUUGGACUAUUUUUGUUGGAUAUGAACAAAUAUCUCAUAUAUAUUAGUAGUUAAAUAAAGGAAGUUGCAUAUAAUAUGCAGGAAAUAAUAUUUUUAAUGAUAUGGACGUAUAAUUAUUGCUGUUGUGUGACAUUUUUCGAUAAAAUCAUGUGUUAUUAGUUUGAAGAGAUACAAGUAAAGAGAUGACAGAACAAUAGUAUAGGCUCGAUUUACUCUCUUUAUUGGGUCAAUAGCUUUUUCCACUCUUACAGAUCUAACCUAUUUUUAUUUUGUCAAAAAAAAAAAGAAGUUAUUUUUAUUAUAUUGGGGUCUAUUAAGUUAUUCCCUUAGUCUAAAUUACAAUUUUUUUUGUGUCACAAAAUGUCCUCCCACUUUCAACAAUCAUGCUACUUUCAAGCAUUUCUGUGGUUAAGUUUGCUGCUGUUCCCACUUUAGUAGUUACUAUAUUUUUUAAGUGUACUUUCUUAACUUAUCAAAUCCAAGAAAGUAAGAAAUAUCCUCUUUCUCUUUCUCGUUGAGCCUAUCCCUUUUGAAAGACCAAUUUUCCUAGAGAAGACAUGCAUGCAUGACAUUCAUUGUUGACGUAUUAGCAGAGCGAGAAAUUCUAAUAAGAGAAUUCAAAAAGCUGGAAGAAUAUGUACCUAUGACCUAAAGUACGAGGAACUCAAACAAGAGAAUUCAAAAAGCUACAAGAAUAUCAUACGUGUGAUUUGUACCAAUGACCUAAAGUACGAGGAAUUCUAACAAGAGAAUUCAAAAAGCUGCAAGAAAAUCAUCAUACGCGUAAUUAAUUUAUAGAUGUAACCUAAAGUAGGUAAUUUUUGAGUCACAUUUGAUCAGAAUGUCGGACGAUAUAAUAAUAUCGAACUCCGAAACGAUAGUAUGUUAUGCACCAACGAUGAUAACCACAACUGGGAUAUGGCAAGGUGAUAAUCCUCUUGAUUAUUCAUUGCCACUUUUCAUAGUGCAAUUGACCUUGGUGGUGGUUGUCACUAGACUUCUCGUUUUCAUCUUGAAACCAAUUCGUCAACCUCGUGUUAUUGCUGAGAUUCUUGUAAGUAAUUUAUACAAUUCUCCAGAAUUUAAUUAUAUGAUCAUUCCUAUUUUCAUUUUCAUUAUUUGUCAAGCAUACGUCGUUUCAUAAGGGGGAAACCCUUGAUGUAAUCAAUCGUUGUGUGACCUGAGGUCGCAAAUUUAAGCAUAGUUGAUAACCUCUUGCGGAAACAUGAGGUGAAACUGCAUAUAGUAGACCUAAUAUGGUCCAACUUUUCCUCGUAGCCCAUGCACAACGCGAGAGCUUAAUUAGAGACCAUGUCUGCAUUUUAUAGUGCACUAAUUUAAUGGUUGUUAGGACAAUUACAAUUGUAUCUCUUAUUUCUUGUUGGAUAAAAUGAUCUAGAGUUGAGUAUCUUAUUGGUAAAGCAAAUUCGACUAUAAGAGGAGGACUGCUAUAAUCUUGUUAGCUUUGUUUUAUAAACUACUUGUAUAUUAAUAUUGUGCAAAAUGGUGGCAGGGUGGUGUAAUUUUAGGGCCAUCAGUAUUGGGAAGAAGUAACAAAUUUGCUGAAACAAUAUUUCCUCAGAGAAGUGUUAUGGUUCUUGAAACAAUGGCAAAUAUUGGCCUUCUUUACUUCCUUUUUCUAGUUGGAGUAGAAAUGGACAUUGCUGUGAUUCGUCAAAAUUGUUGCAUGAGAAAUCACAAAAUACCAAAGAAGGAACUUUCAUUCUCUUCCUUGGCCUCGCGCUUUCUGUUACUUCAUUUCCAGUUCUUGCUAGAAUCCUCGCGGAACUCAAACUUAUCAACACUGAAAUUGGGAAGCUCGCGAUGUCUGCUUCACUUAUUAAUGAUAUGUUGGCAUGGGUUGUCUUAGCUUUUGCUAUUGCCUUUACUGAGAAUAAAGACACGAGUUUGGCUUCUCUUUGGGUGAUCCUCUCAAGCAUUGCCUUUAUUUGCUUAUGCUUUUUUGUAGUUAAGCCAUUGAUUGGAAGGAGGAUUAAACAGACCCCAGAAGGCGAAUCGAUUAGUGAGUUCAAUGUAUGUCUCAUUCUCUCAGGGGUUAUGAUUGCUGGAUUCAUAACAGAUGUUAUUGGAACACAUUCUGUUUUUGGUGCUUUUGUCUUUGGUUUGAUUAUCCCUAGUGGUCCUCUUGGUUUGACCCUUAUAGAAAGGCUAGAGGACUUUGUUUCAGGGCUUUUGUUGCCCCUUUUUUUCGCCAUUAGUGGUCUCAAGACACAGGUUAGUGCUAUUGAUGGAGCAACAACAUGGGGAGUUUUAUUUGUUGUUAUAAUCCUGUCUUGUGCUGGCAAAGUAAUAGGUGUAGUCCUUGUAAGUUUUUUCUACCAAAUGCCGUUUUAUGAAGGCCUUUCUCUUGGUUUCCUCAUGAAUGCCAAAGGCCUUGUUGAGAUGAUUGUGCUCAAUGUUGGUAAAGACCAAAAGGUAAUGGUAAUUGUAACACAUACACUUUCAUCUAUUUCGUGGAAAAACCCUCUUACAGAAAUGCAUGGUAAGGCCGAGUACAGUAGACCCUUGUGGUCCGGCCUUUUCCCGGACUCUAUGCAUAGCGGGAGCUUAGUGCACCGGGAUGCCCUUUUUACUUUUAUCUAUUCGUCUUCACACAACUCAAAAGUACUAAAUACUUGUGUAAAUGCAGGUUCUUGAUGAAAAAUCUUUUGCUAUAAUGGUGAUUGUAGCAUUAGGCAUGACUGCAGUAAUCACCCCCAUUGUGACAAUGGUCUACAAACCAUCAAAAAAUUUCACCCCAUACAAGAGAAGAACAGUUCAAAAAAUAAAAUUGGAUAGGGAAUUUCGAGUAGUUGUCAGCAUCCACACCCCUAGAAUCGUUCCAACAGUUAUCAGUCUUCUUGAAUCUUCCUGUCCUACCAAGAAAUCACCAAUAUGCGUAUACGCCCUACACCUUGUCGAGCUCACUGGCCGUGCAUCUGGAAUGCUUAUUGUCCAUAACAUGAGAAAAUCAGGGAGGCCAGCUAUGAACAGGACACAAGCUCAAUCGGAUCACAUCAUCAAUGCAUUCGAGAACUUUGAGAAAAGCACAGGAUGUGUCUAUGUGCAGACUCUCACUGCCGUCUCCCCUUACUCCACUAUGCAUGAAGACAUUUGCGUCACAGCUGAGGAAAAACGUGUGGCGUUAAUCAUCGUCCCUUUUCACAAGCAACAAGCAGUUGAUGGUGGACUCGAAGCUACAAAUCCAGCAUUCCGAACAAUUAACCAGAAUGUAUUAGCAAAUGCACCUUGCUCCGUUGGAAUACUAGUUGACAGAGGCUUAAGUGGAUCUGCAAGGUCCACAAUGAACCAAGUUUCUCAUCAUGUCGCGGUGUUAUUCUUUGGAGGACCAGAUGAUCGCGAAGCAUUAGCCUAUGCUUGGAGAAUGAGUGAACACCCAAACGUUAAUUUAACUGUUAUGCGUUUCCUCCCUGGAGAAACCGUAAUUGAAACAGAAAGAUCAGACUCAACCAACAGCAGGAAGAAAAGCAGGAAUGACCAUAGUAUACUAACAGUUGAAACAGAACGCGAUAGGGAAAAACAGCUCGAUGAGGAAUAUGUAACACACUUCAGGAUGAAAACAGGUAAUGAUGAAUCAAUAGCUUACAUAGAAAGAGUAGUGAAUCAUGGAGAAGAAACAGUAGGAGCAAUAAGGACUAUAGAUAACUCACAUGACUUGUUCAUAGUUGGUAGAGGACAAGGCACUAUCUCCCCAUUAACAUCAGGGCUAACUGAUUGGAGCGAAUGCCCGGAGCUUGGUGCUAUUGGGGAUCUAUUAGCUUCUUCAGAUUUCGCGAUGACUGCUUCAGUAUUAGUGGUGCAACAAUACGUAGGAAUGGGUUCAGGGGAUCCCUUAGCCAUUCCGGAUAGUCCUAGCCAGCAUUCCGAACACGUCAACAUUGAACAAACGAAUCGUAGGUCACAUAGCAGCUAUACGUCACAAAGCAGCUAUAGAGAACAACUACAACAACAACGACAACCUGAUUUUCAUUCACAACAUUGAAAACUUGGUAGGAUUCUUGUCCAUAUCAAUUAUUUUUUUUUGUUAACUAUUCUUGAAUUUUGUUACUUGUAAAAUGUAAAGUUCUUUUAUGCUUCCUACUCUCAACAUAUCAUUCAUACUUGAUGUAUAUGGUAUUCCAUUGAAAGAGUAAAGUGAAGAUAACGUAUGAAACAGUUUUAUUUUCCUUUGUUGCUUCUAUUGUUCUCUUGGUUCCAAUUUUAAACAUUACGAUUAUUAUGAAUGUCGGACUCUUAACUCCAAAGGUGAAACUAGAAUUUCUAGAAUAUGGAUGCGCUACUAAUGAAUGGCGAUAAACAACUUAGCAUUCAACCAAGUGCACCAUUCAAAUCCUUUCCCCGUGAGGGCACUAAUUCGAAGAAGAACAUUGUGUAGAUAAGAAAAGGAUACUAAUGAUAAUAAGCAAUUACAAAACUCAAUUGAUUUUCAUAUUUAUCAUGGAUAUUUUGUUUCAUUAGUAGUAAUGUAUAUAAUGAAUAAAUCACAACAACAAUCACCUUGACCUUGUCAACCUUGAUGAAAUAUUGCAAAACUAAACCAUCUUAUUUUUAUUUUUUUUGAAUUCUAAUCCAUCUUAUUCAACCUAUUACGUUGAAUUAUCUUUUCUAAACAAUGAGAAAUUUAGUGAAACAUAAACACCUUAGAUGAGUUUCUAAACGCUUGUUCACCACCUUACCAUAUUUAUACCUUGUCACAGUUCUUCACAUGAUUCAAGAUGGAGUUUUAAGUUUUGUGCACUGUGUACAAAUAUUCUAUACUAUCAGAUAAUUUGAUCUGCUAUUGUAAGUUACCCAAUUAUUUACAUAAAAAUUGAAAAAGGAAAAUUAGGUAACUUGCAAUAGCAAGUCAAAUUUACCUAAUAAUGUAGAAUAUUAUGAACACUGACAGUGCAUGAAACUUAAAUUCGGAUGGAUAUCAUACCCUAACCCCUUCCAAUAGAAGGUGUAUCCUCAGAUUCAAUUUGUUUGUUUAGUUUCGACUUGUCACGAAGUUAAAAAAAAAAAUAAAGAUGAUUUUUGAAUUUUGUGUUUUGAACUAAAGAUAUAGAACAUAUCGAAAUAUUCUUAAUCUUAUGUUUUAAACAUGACAUGUGAAAGGUUGGAAUUAAAUAGUUGUCAUAAUAAGAAAGUGAUAUUAUUUUUUAAAUGGAUUAUUAAGACCCAAAGUAAAACCAACAAAGUGAAAUUGAAAGGAGAGAGUGGCAAUCUUUGUGCAAGUAUUUUCAAUUUCAGAGUGUCCUCAACAUGUGACUUGUGGUAUAAUUGUAUGACAUCCUUCCUCAAUUGUUCAUCAAGCCCUACUAAUGGUCUUCCAUUAUUCCUCAGUUGAUCAUGUACAAAAGUGUACCCUUGAUAUCAGCUCUUCUAUUUCUGACUCAUGAAUUUUUCAUCCAUGCUCCAGUUUUAUUUUUUCAAUUCCAAGGUAUUACUAACAUGGAUUGUGUUGCAGUGGUAAGCCUCUUCGCCCUUAAUCAGGAGUCUCGGGUUUGAGUCCUGAAUAUUGAGAAAAUCCUGUUGGAAAUCUCACUUCAAGACUAGGCGUUACAGUGCUAUAUCCAAAUUAAUCGAAGCUCUAACGCAAAUACCGAUCGAACAGGGAAUAAAGAAAAACAUGUUAGUCUUGAUGGUGGCAAGUAGAGUUUCUUGAUGGUGGCAAGUAGAGUUAAUAUUGUCACAUGUAGCCUAGAGGCUAUUCAACACGAAAUAUUUUUCUUGUAGUCGAUCAUGUAUCAAAACAAAAAGGGUAAUGUUUCUUUUAUACAAGAUUUAUCACUUAAUUAAUAUUAUAUAGUAUUUAUGUUACCUUAGUUAAUCACUUAAUCUUGAUAAAUAAACAUACUUUAGUUUAUACACUAAAAAGGGCAGCCCCGUCAAAGCUACCCGAGUGCGAGUCUGAAAAGAGUCGACCACAAAAAUCUAUUGUAUACAAUUACUUUAGUUUAUAUAGUCCUAUAUAUGCUACUUUUUGUAAUUUUUCCUUUCUUUUUCCUACCGUAUACUGCAUUUCUGCAGAAGUAAAAACAGUAUUUUGGCUGUUUGUUUUUUCUUAAUUUUCCAGUACCCAAUAUCUACAUUAAUACCCAAUUAAAUAUGAAUUCAUACAUUACAUAGCCUUCUUUUAGGAAGGACUUUUCAACAAAAUCUUUUUUAUUGUCAGAGCUCAAAUGACGAAAUUCUGAUUAAACAUAAAGAGUGUCAAUCAUCCUAUCACGGCUAUAUAAGCAUACUGUGGCUGUUUUGGUUGGCGUUUACUUCAAAAAAGAUGCUACUAUAAUUUUAUCUUUAAUCAUCGACAAAACUCACAUGUGAACCUAAUCAAUUGGCAAACUUUUUGUCAUCAAGAUUUUUGUUUUUGUAUUCUUAAAUUUUUUGGCAUCUAAAUAAACUUUCAAGACAUUAUACUUAACUAAGAGUAUCUCUCAACAGCAUCUCACUCUAUUUUCAUUUGCGUUUAAGUUAUAUACAAUUAAAGUAUCCCAAUUAUUUGAAUUUCAUAUCUUAAUUGUUAGGUGUACGAAUUUUUUAUCUAAACUAUCACCAAUUAUCUAUCAAUCACUCCUUAAUUAUCAAUAGUUUACUUUUCCUACCUAAAUCAUGGUGAUAUUUCAGAUAGGAAAAGUAAACAAUUGAUAAUGAAUUGUAUUUGAUAAAUAUAUUUAGUGAUAGUUCGUGUAGAAGACUCACCACAGUUCAAGUAUGAAAAUGAAAAUCGGGUAUUUUACCUGUGAUUUUGACCCUUCAAUGUUAAAUAAUAAAAGGCUAAAAGUGCUUAAUCAGAUAUCGCAAGAAUUGAAAUUAAAAUUUAUUAAUAAUUGAGUGAUCAAAAUAUUAUCUAACUCGUGUAAAGAUUCUCACAUGUAAGACUCCUACAAACUAAAAACAGAAAUUAUAGAUAAAGUUAUCUGAUAAUAAAUAUUUAAGAAAAAAUUAUGCAGCCCAUAUAUAAAAAUAAAAGCCUCUUCCCUUAACCAUUAGUUAUAUUCUUUUUCCUAGCCCUAGACUUCUUACCAAUGUGAUGAAAUAGGGACAUUAAUUAAAAUUGUCAUGUAACGUUAUAGGUCGACAAACACUUGACAAUACUAAAUUGUGGUCCUAUAAUGCCAUAUGUUAUACGUGUUAAAAUUUAUGUAGUUGAAUCUAGAACAUCCAUAAAAUUGUGGUCUCCUUUACUAGCCAUGUGUCAUUUCCACAAAAGAUUAAGAUAAAUUGAACACAUAUGGAGUAGCUUUUUUACAUUUCUUAUCGAAACAAUUCACAGGAUAUUCACUAUGAUUUUUGUAAGAAGAAAAAUAAUUAUAUUCACUUGAUAGUUUGGGAACUAGUGAAAAUCGAAUGACAUUCUAAUGAUAAAUAAGAAAUAAAAGAGAUUGAGAAAGAUAAUGAUUCAAUGAGAGUUGAAGAAAAGACUAGAGGAAAGUCUUAAGAAGAUGAAAAUGUGUGGUGAGAUGGUUACGAUUCAUCGAUUUUCUAUUAGAAAUUUGAAUUUGAAUCUGAAAAUAAAUAGUUCCUUAACAAAAAAUGAUGAGGAAAUCAGAAAUUUUAUCAAGUGAAUUCAAAUAAGAAAUACAUUAAUAUAUAGAUUCUUUUAUGUAAAACGAAUUCAACAAGUUAUAUGUACAUUUAAAAAAAGACCUAUAUAAAUAAUUUUCCAGGAAUAAGGAGAUUUUAAUUGAAUCUCUUUCACUAGACAAUGAUUCAUUAUUGAUAGAGAACGCUUUAGUAUCUACUACCUAUCAUUAGGACCUUCUUGCUAUAAUUUAAUUAAUCUUGAAUUAGAAUUAUUUUGCAUUGGAAUAUUUUGAAUUUCAUCCUUCCAUGCUUCAUUUAGUCCAGUCCCUCCAUGCGACUAACAUUGCAAAUUAAUUCUUUUUACGACGCGAGAGAUGCUUCCUUAAUAGUUACUAUUUCGACAUUACGUAAUAAUUUUGACUUAAAUUUUAUAAAUGAAUACUUAAUUUGUCUAUUUAUUCAUGUCUCCAUCAUAUCAGGAGUUUAACUUACAUCGAUGGUGUAAUGCAAGUUUAGAACUAGAACUUUUAUUACCAACUGAUAGUUGAAAUAUGUCUUUUUCUCCCAUGUUUAGUUUGCAAGGUAAUUAGUUAGUCCAUUCCUUCAUGUAAACUAGCUUUUCAAAUUAAUUCUUUUUAUCACUCUAGAGGAGCUCCCAUAAUAGUCAUGAUUUAGAACUUAAUAAUUUUGAUUCAAAUUUAAUAGAUAAAUAAUUAAUAUGUGGAUUAAUUCAUGUCUUCGUCAUCUCAAGAAUUUAACUAACAUAGGUCGAUGAUGUAAUGAAUAUUUUAUAUUAUCAUAUCAUUCUUAUAUAUUGUAAUAUACAUAUUUGUCUUAUUUUCAGAAUUACAUAUCGCACUUUCAUGAAUGAUUGUUUGUAAUUAACUACAUUUUGCAUGACCUGAUACACUGAUGGUAUAAAUAUUUUCUUACAUUAUCGAUGUAUAUAUAACUUUAACUGCAAUAUCAAAGCAUGAUAUAUAUAAACUCGACAAAUAUAUGUCAUUUAUUACUCAUGAUGAUACAACAAUAAGAAAGGCAAACAACUAGCUAGCCUUCCUUCUAAAUAUACUGAAUAAACUACAUAUAAUAAUUACUCCUUUGAAAAUAAACAACUAUAUAAACGUACAAAACACCAAAACACACACUGAAACAAAAUACAAAAUACUAUAUAUGAAAGUGGAAAUGUAGCUAGCUUGAUAAAUUAUGCACAUUGAAAGUUCUUGGGAACAUAUUUGCCACAAUUGUUGAGCAACAAGCUGAGGGAAAGUGGAACAUUGAGAUUAAUUCCCAACACAUUGCCUUUAAUGGCAGUGCAAAGACAAACAGCAGCAUCAACAUCAGCAAGUCCUUUAAUUAAAGAGCAACAUUUAGUCUUGGCUGGGCUACUUCCAAUGACAAGGUGCACUAAGUCAUUUAACAAACUGGCACAAGCUUUUAGCUUAAGUGUAUUCUUUGGGCACUUUCCCUUUGAUGAUGGGUUGGAUGGGGAAGAGGGGGUGGAGGGGGUAGGGGUAGGGGUAGGGUUGGAGGGUGGUGGGCAUGGGACAUAAGUGGAACUAACCAUAGUGAAAAAGAGAAUGUUCAAUGUGAGGAGAAGAGCAAUGGAGGCAAACUUAGCCAUUUUUUUAAAAACUAGCACUCUCAACAAAUGAAUGUGGCUAUUAGUAGUGAAAAUGGUGUGUGUUUUGGUGUUUGAAAUGAUGAAAUGAGAGGGUAUUUAUAGAUAAAAAUGAUCGAUUUUUUUGGCUAUUUUUUGUCAAUUUUUUGAAAACAAUGAAGAAAAUUGAGUGGCCCGUGUGGGCUAUCGCACAUUUGCACUACAAUUGUAAGAGAAUAUCAAGGCAACACAACUUAAGAUAAGACUAUUAUAGAAAUGGUGGGGAUGAUUGGGAUUCCGCUUUUAAUCAAAGAUCUCGAAUUUGAGUUUUGAAAAUAAUUAAAAAAAAACUUAUUGGGAGUGCCGUCUCAAGUGAUGAAAUCUACAAUAUGCAAAUUUAAAUUUAAUUGGGUUGUAAUACAAAUAUACAUAUGAAUUUUAAACAAAGAGAUAAGACUAUUACGAAUUUUAAGCUUGGAAUUGUAUGAAUUUAGUUAAUCUUUUAUUAUUUAUCUCUUGAAUUAAUAUACACAUUUAACCUUCCAUUUUCACGUGGGACUUGCAUUAUUCCGCUUAACAGAGGUAAAUCCAGGAUUUGAAGAGAGGGGUGCACCAUUAUUUUUAACAGAGUCAUGUCGACUAUCAACUACAUAAUUUGACAUGCAAAUUUUUUAAACUUAAAAAUUAUAAAAAAAAUUAUGGGCAAAGUAUAAACUUCAAAAUGAUCAAAUGAUAUUAAUUUAGUACUAAUACAACAGAAGUAGACCAUCCUUUCAUACUAGACAUCGACGCGUUUUCAUAUUCUGAAAACUGUCAAUGAUUGCAUCAUUGCUUAUAUUUACAAAUAUAUCCUUCUCAAUGUAACAAACUAAACAAUCCCUUAAAAAUGCAUCACCAAUACUGCUACGCAAUUUAUUCUUGAUAUGCUUCAUGGAUGAGAAAGCUCUCUCUACAGUUGCAGUAGCGACUGGUAAAAUCAACGUCAACUUCACAAGUAAAUACACAAGAGAAUAAGUCAUCACAAGAUUUGCAUUAACCAAUGCUUCUGCCAAAUCACCAAUUCCUUUCAAAUUAGAGAAUAUAUGAUCAACACGUCCCAUGUGUAUAUUGAAAGUAUCAAGUUGGUAAUUAAGCUCUCGAAACUUUGAUUCACCAAAUUCAUCCAGAUAAUGUUUGACCAAUAUCAUUAUUUUUUCCUUAUCAAAAUUAGCAAGAACAUUAGCUGGAUUCAAGCUUGCCAUACCAAGGAGCAAGUUACCACUCACAACAUCAAAGCGAUUAUUAAGCUCUUGAAGUUGCAAGUCAAUUAUAGCAUAAAAGAGCUCAACACGUAAGUGAUGUGAGUAAGUAACACUAGAAGACCUACUCUUUGACUUUUUGAAAAGAUAAAACUCAUCCAUCUUAGGCAUCAAGAUUUCAUGUUUAUCACAAAAUACACAAACUUCAUUCAUUAGAGAAUCUCAUCUAUCAUCUCUCAACAAUUGUAAUCUUUUCUUAGUAAUGUCAAGAAAUGUCAUGGCAUUGACAAUAUGUUGCUCUUUCCUUUGUAAUAAUGCACUUAGCUCAUUGGACAUCACCAAUAUCUUCAACAUCAAGUGAAGCAAGAAAGAAAAUUCAAAUUCAUUGAUCAUAGUCAAAAAAAUCCCGGCUUGUAAUCUAUCAUUGGGAUUUGAGCCUCCACAUUUAAUCGCAUCAAGCACAUGAGCUAUAGAUGAAAGUAAAAUAAUAAAUUUAUCCAGUGUUCUAAAAUGUGAAACCCUACGAGUGUCACCUGGCCUUUGAAGUCCUUGUUCUUGAUUUAAUCCUUUUCCACUUUGAACUUCACCACUUUCUAGGAGUUGCUCCAACAUUUCUGCUUGAUGGUCUCGAAGUUGAUCUCUGCGCUUAAAGGAUGCUCCUACCACAUUCAACACAUUAAUAAUAACAUCAAAAAAUUCAUCUACGAGCAAAUAUUUUUUAGCAACGGCUACAAGUAUCAAUUACAAUUGGUGAGCAAAACAAUGAAUACAAUAUGCCGAUGGAGUUUCCUACAAAAUCAAAGCUUUAAGACCGUUCAUUUCUCCCUACAUGUUACUAGCCCCAUCAUAGCCUUGUCCUCAUAUUUUAGAUGUACUUAAAGAGUGUCUCAUAAGAAAAGAGCAUAUUGUUUCCUUCAACAUUUUUGUCGAUGUAUCACCAACACGAACAAUAGAAAUAACUCACUCAUUCACUUUACCUUUUUUGGUAACAUACCUUAAUGCAACGGCCAUUUGUUCAUUGUGUGAUAUGUCUUUGGAUUCAUCAACUAAAUCCCUAAAAAAUCUCCAUUCAAGUCAUCAAUUAUAGCUUUCACGGUUUCUUGAGCACAAGCACUCACAAUAUCCUUUAAAAUUUUUGAAGAAGUCAUUAUAGCAUUUUUUGAAGCAUGUUUUAAAAUAACAUUGUUCAAAUCAGGAAGUAUUUUUUCUAGCCAUUUCAAAAGACCUAGAAAAAGGCCUUUAUUUUGGAAAGAUUCACUUUCAUCGUGACCUCGAAAAGAUAAUCCGAAUUUCAAAAGGAACUUUGCCACGUUAGUUGAAGCCUCUAAACGAAUACGAUGCACACUUCUUAUUUUUUUCAGAUUGCUUGUUCAAAGCAACUUGAAUUGAUUGAGAUUGAUUCUCAAAAUUUAGCAUAUUACUGAAAUAUCUUCUAUGGACGCUUUUUACUUCACCAACAUGUAAUUGAAAUCGCUUCAAACUAUGAUUCCAAGUCUUAAAGUCGAUUUUUGUGAAAAAAUCACCUGCAUUUCCCUUUACAUAGUCAUUUUUUGAAUAAAUAGCAACACAAACGAAACACAGCAUCUUUCUUCACACUAUGCUCCAUCCACCUAGAAUAUGAAUCUUCAUACCACGUCGAAUUAAAUCGACGCAUUUUUGUUCCAAUUCUAGUUUGAGGAAAGUGAGAAAGAAUCGGUUGACAAGGCCCUUGUUGAAUAUAGUGCCUUCUCACUUGAUCUCGUAUUGUAGAGUCACAUUCAUGAAUUGGUUUUCUUUCUCCGGAAUCAAAUUUUAGUGAAUUCACAUCAAACUCUUCUAUAAGAGGAUAAGAAUUGUCUUUAAAACUAGAGCUUGGUUGAGGAGAAUAAUAUCUAUCCAUUUCAAUUCACAAGAAUCAAUAACAAAUUCUUACAAAAUAAAAAAUUCAUCGAGAAUAUAAAUAAAAUUAAUUAUUUAUUUUUAAUCAAAGUCCAUGAACUUAAAUAGAAGCAAGAAAAAAAUAUAAAUAAAUUUUGCACACUAACUUUCUAGCAACAAAUAGAUAUUAAAAGCAUUUAUGAUUUAACAUUAUCCAAACUUAAAUUAAAAAAAUAAAAAAAUAAAAGGAAGAGAUGUAUACCUGUUAGCAUCAAAUGAAGAAUUGAAAUUGCUCCUUGUUACCUUGUUUGGCUUUUGGAAGAAUUUGGAAAAUACCGAAUAGAGCUUGAAAUUUAGGAAAAAUUACGGGGCUUGGGACUGGGAAAUAUGUAUUACCUAGAUAUAUUAAUUAAGGGUAGUGUGGGGCCAGCUGAGGUGGUUGCCUGGCUGGUGGUAAUUAAAUGUUAAGUAAAUGAAACAAAAGGCAUCCAUCAGGAUUCGAACUUGUAACGUUGGGACUCGAUGGAUGCUAACAUUUGAGUUCCGAACUAGUGCACCCAGACAUGUUUUGCUAUUAAGGGUGCACAAUUAAAUAUAUUAACAAUUUAGUAGGAUAUCUAUACAUAUAUAUACGAUUUUAAAAAAAAAAAGUUACCGGGUGCACGUGCACCCUCGCGGAAUCACGUGGUCCGCCUCUAAUUGGAGCCUGAUUAAAUUUGAAUUUCCGUCGAAAAGUUUCACAUUGGAGGGUAAAACGCUUUCUAACAAACGCAACUUCGUAUUAUGUUAGACUCAAACCCGAGACUUCUGGUUAAGGUUGAAGGAGUAUUUAUCACUCUACCACAAAUCUUUAUUUAUUUAGGUACAAUACGCCACUCUUUUCUUAUUAUUUCGUUUAAAAAAAUGACACCAUUUUAAUAUUUUAAAACAAUUAACUUUUAAAAGUUUUUAUUUUACCUUUAUUAGCUUGCUUUAAUGAUAUAAUAUUCAUGCCAUAUUUAAAUUUAUAAGUUUCAAAAAAAAUAGUUUCUUUUCUUCUUAAUUAAACUCCAUCUAACUCUACGGUGAAAUAUUGCAAUAUAAACUAAAACAAAUAAAGUAAUACUAUAUUCUUAACGUUUAUAGGAUAUUCUUUUCUUCUAUAGUAUUACAGAGAAUAAAAAAAUACAAAAGGAGAAGAAGAAAGAAAACAUUGUGAUGAUAAAAAUCUGAAGCUAAAUAGAAUUUGUGUGCUAUCAGCUAAGAGAGAAGAGAGAAAGAGAGAGAAAGAGAGGAAAUUGAUUCCCUAACUCAUGCUGAGCAAAACAAUAACCGUCUCUGUAUUGAACUGUAUAGAAUGAAUAUAUUCUUCUCUUUUAGAUGCAUGCUACAUUAUUGAUAGUUGUACAUCACUAACUAAUCAGCUAAUUAGUCUAAUUAGUUUAAUCUAUAUUAACUAACUCUUGUGCCAACCGUACAAUGCAAAGAGUCAAUUGUACAAUGCAAUUAAGUCACUAUUUUUGUUUCAUUACUCCUCCUUAAGCUGGAAAGUAUGAACACAUCCAAAACACCCAGCUUUAAAAUCAAAUAUUCAUGUUGUGAUCUAAUCAACCCUUUUUUCAAAAUAUCUACUUGUUGCUCAUGUGUUCUUAAGAAUAAUGGUUUAAUCAAUCCCAUUUGGAUCUUCUCCAUAAUGAAGUGACAAUCUAUUUUGAUGUGCUUUGUUCUCUCAUGAUAUACCGAGUUUGUUGCAAUUUGUAAGACUUCCUUAUUGUCACAAUAUAGUUCUACUGGCAUUUCCAGGUCUUCUCCUAAUUCUUUGUACAAUCCUGUAAUUCACACUAUCUCUGAGAUUUUAGAAGCCAUGCUCCUGUAUUCUGACUCUGUUGAGCUUCUUGAAAUGGUUGUUUGUUUCUUGGACUUCCAAGAUAUCAGAGAAUCACCAUGUUUAACUAGGAAACCUGUCAAUGAUCUCCUAGUGUUUGGGCAUGCUGCCCAAUCAGCAUCACAAUAUGUUGUCAGCUUGUUUUAUUUCCUACUACUCAUCAAUAUUCCCAUUUCAGGUUGCCUCCUUAUGUAUCUCACCACUCUUAGUGUUGCUUCCAUGUGAAAUCUCUUUGGUGCUUGCAAAAACUGACUUAGUGUUUGCACUGUAAAAUAUAUGUCUGGUCUUGUUAGAGUUAGGUAAAGCAAUCUACCAAUCUAUCUCUGAUAUGAUCUCAUAUCUUCCAAUACUGGAUCAUCUUUUACCCCAGCUAUUUCAUCCAUUUCUCUAUUAGUUAGUCUCGUAUUGUUGUCCAGUGGUGUCCAGGAGGGCUUUGCUCCAGUAAGACCAACUUUCUCUAUCAUUUCUAGAGCAUGUUUUCUUUGAUUCAUCAAUAUUCCUUUAGUAGAGCUGCUAAAUUCUAUCCCUAGAAAGUACUUUAAAGUUCCUAGGUCUUUAAUCUUGAACUUAGCAUGCAACUUUUGCUUGGUCUGCUCAAUUAACUUUAAGUCAUUCCCUACUAUCAUCAUGUCAUCAACAUAAACUAGAAUGAUUACAAUUUUCUCAUUGUGUCUUCUUAUGAAUAAUGAGUGGUCUAGUUUUCUCUGCAAGAAUCCUGAAGCAAUCAGUGCAUCUGUAAGUUUCACAUUCCAUUGUCUGCUUGCCUGUUUAAAAUCAUACAAGGAUUUAACUAGCCUACAAAUCAGUCCAUAAGACUCCGUCUGACUAGAAAAUCCUUCAGGCAGGGUCAUGUAAACUUCAUCAAAGAGAUCACCUUGAAGAAAGGCAUUAUACACAUCCAUUUGAUGGAUAUGCCAUCCUGAAGCAACAGCAAUUGACAAUACACUUCUGACAGCAACAAUUUUCAUCACAAGUGGAAAGGUAUCUUGGUAAUCAAGACCCUCUCUGGUUAUAACCUUUAGCCACCAAUCUAGCCGUGUAUCUUUCUACUUCACCCACCAAUAGGAUGUUUUCCUGGAGGCAGGAGAUCUAACUUCCAAGAUUGGCUUCAAGUGCAAGAAUUUCUUCUUGCAUUGCCUUGAUCCACUUAGGAUCAGAACAAGCUUCCUUAUAUGUCUUGGGUUCAGUAACACAAGAAAAAACAGCCAAAUAGUAUUGAUAAGUAGGUGAAAGAUGAGCAUGACUUAACACCUGAGAAAGUGAAUAUAGAGUGCUUACAGAAGCAUUAUUGGAGAUGUAAUCAGUCAUCCAAGUAGGCUACUUCUUGGAUUUUGUGGACUGUCUAGGAACAACCUCAACAGGCACAUUAAUAGCUACAGGAAGUGUGUCAUCAGCAUCAACUGACAUGGUGUUGCAUGCAAGUGGUCAACAGUUGCAUCAUGAUCAGCUUUAAUAGGAGAAUGAGGUAAUAUUUCAUCAACCUAUAUUGAGUCUUGAGAGAUUGGAAUAAAAUGAUCAAUAGAGAAGUCCAAAAAUAUAGGAGUAGGAAGAGACUUAGUUUGAAAAGGAAAAACAUUUUCCUUAAACAAAACAUCUCUCGACAAAAAAAAAAAGAGUGAGUAACUAAGUUAUAUAGAACAUAGCCUUUAGUUACUGCAGAGUACCCCAUAUGAACAGUAGGGAUUGCUCUUGCAUCAAACUUAUUCCCUGGAAGAAGCUUCUUGACAAAGCACAAGCAACCUAAUACUCUUAAAUGAGUGAGAGUAGGGAUAUAACCAUGGAAAACUUCAAAAGGAGUCUUUCCCUCCAAAGCAGAAGAAGGUAAUUUGUUCAUCAUGUAUACAGCUUCCAAAAUACAAUGUCCCCAGAACUUAAGAGGUAUUGAACCCUGAAAUAUGAUUGAUCUGGCUAUCUCCAAAAUAUAUUUGUGCUUUCUCUCCACGACUCCAUUUUACUGUGGAGUGUAAGCACAGGUUCUUUAAUGCAUUAUCACAUAGGUGGAGAAUAAGAUAUGACAAUGUGCGUUCACAAAUUUAGUCUCAUUAUCUGACCUAACCAUCUUUAUAGUUUUGUAAAACUGAGUUUGCACCAAUUGAAUAAAGUUCUUCAAAAUCAUGAAAACAUUACUUUUUAAUUUACGAAGAUAAACCCAAGUCAUUCGAGAAUGAUCGUCAAUAAUUGUCAGGAACAAUCUAUAACCAUCAAAUGUUUGAAUAUGAAAAGGGCCCCAGACAUCCAAAUAAAGUAAAUCAAAAACAGCUGCAGACUUAGUUUCAUUAAGGAAAAAUGGCAUCCCAGUAUGUUUAGCAAGAGGACAUAUAUCACAUGUAUCUAAAACAAGUUUACAAUCAUCAAAAGUAACACCAAAAAGUUUCUGCAUGGCUCCAAUAGAUACAUGUCCCAUUCUCUUAUGCCACAACAGUAUAUCCACUUUAUUUUUUAUAGCAAUCAAUCCCUUAAUAGGUCGAGCAUGGUGUUGUUCUUUCACUUUGUGUUCAAGUAAGUAUAAUCCAUCCUUUUCCUUACAGUCGCCAACACUUUUUCAUUUGAGAGGUCCUAGAAUAUACAGGAAUCAGGAAGAAAUUUGAUUGAACAAUUCAACUCUUUGGUUAUCCUAGAGACUGGCAUCAAAUUAUACCUAAAAUCAUGUAUAUAUAAUACAUUUCUAAUGGUGUGAUCAUUCAACACCUCACAAGAACCAGUAUGAGACACAUGAGCCACUUCUCUAUUAGGUACGUGAACAUUUUUGUCACUAACACAUAUUUGUGUUGGUUUUAAUAACUCAAUAUUAGAGGAAAUAUGGUUUUCUGCGCCUAUAUCAAUUAUCCAUUGUCUUAUUAUCAUUUACACAAGAAGCAGAAGCAAUAUCUGUGUUUUCAACCUCUGUAACAUGAGAUACAAAAGAGUUACCUCCCAUGUUUUCUGCUUUUAAUAUAGACAGCUUGCUUAUGCUCGCUGAACUUUCUCCUACAUGUUCUUUCUCAAGAGAUUGCAUCACCUUAUUUCAGUAAUAAGGAUUCUCUAGCAUCUUCAUCAUUUUGUCAUAGUGAGGAUGAGUGUAAGAAGGCAUCUGUAAACCAUGAUGGCCAUCAUCACCAAUUGACACUUAUUUACCAUGUGUAUAAUCUGAAAAUCUAGUAGCCUCUUUCUUCACAUAGUAAGUUCUGCCUCUAGCAUCAUCUCCUCUCAUAUUGUAUGACUUAUUUCUAGGAUCUCUAUCUCUCAUGUUAAAAUAAGCACUAACUCCAUUCUUUCUUUUUGACUUGAAAUCAGAGGGAUUACUAUGAAGUUUGAAACAAUCAUCCAUAUUGUGACCAGUCAACUUAAAAUACUCACACUUAGAAUUUCAGUGAGGAUUCCUUUUAUACUUAUUAGAGGUGCUACUUUUGUUACUCAUUAAAGCAGUUAUCUCUGCAUUUUCAGAAGGUCCAAUGGUAUGAGCAAUCACUUUUUGGCUUUCCCUCUCAAUCAUCAUAGAGUAUGCUUGAUUGACAGAUGGAAUUGGGGCUAACAUAAGAAUUUGCCUUCGAGCUUGUUCAUAUGAGUCAUUGAGUUCCAUUAAAAACUGUAACAACUUUUGCCUUUUUACAAAUUCCACAAAUUCUCGUGACUUCUCUCAAUCACAACCUGGGAAUGGGGCUAAACAAUUAAAAUCUGCCCAAAGCAAGCUCAAUUUAAUAAAAUAUUCAGCAAUGCUACUAGUACCUUGAGAGGCAGUUGCGAUUUCACGGUGCAACUGAAAAAUCUGCGAUCCAUCAACUUUAUCGAAUCGCUCUUUAAGAUCAUUCCACACAUAGGAUGCAUUUGAAGAGUAUACAAUUCCACUCAACAAUUCCUUCGAAACACGGUUCAUGAUCCAUGAAAAGAAGAUUACAUUACGAUGCUCCUAUAGAUCAGCUAGAUUUGGAUCAAAACUUGCUCUUCUGCAUGUGCCAUUGAUGAAUCCCAACUUGUUUCUUCCAAGUAUUGCAAUCUUCAUCGUCGACUCCAGACAGAGUAGUUUUCAGAUCCUGUAAACUGUAUAGAAAUUAACAAUAUUCCUGAAGUAUCCGACUUAUUGAGAUACAAUGGAUGAUUGUGCUUCAAUUUUUCUGACAGAGUAUUAUCGACUUCCACCGUCAUUCCUGUCCUAAAUUGCUUCAAAUCAGCUUAUGCAGACCGUAUUAAUGACCUUAGGCUCUAAUACCAUGAAGCUAAAUAGAAUUUGUGUGCUAUCAGCUAAGAGAGAAGAUAGACAGUAAGAGAGAGAAAGAGAGGAAAUUGAUUCCCUAACUCAUGUUGAGCAAAACAAUAACCGUCUCUGUAUUGAACUGUAUAGAAUGAAUAUAUUCUUCUCCGUUAUAUACAUGCUACAUUAUUGACAGUUAUACAUCACUAACUAAUCAGCUAAUUAGUCUAAUCUAUAUUAACUAACUCUUGUGCCAACUGUACAAUGCAAUUAAGUCACAGCUUCUGUUUCAUUAAGAUCUCAAUUGAGAUAAAAGUUAAACUUUCCGAGUCCUUCCCAUAAUUAAUUUGAUGACGAUUCGUCAUUAGAAAGAAUGGGGAGAGAAUAUGUUUUGAUGCAUAAUAUAGGUAUAUAUGUUACUGGACAACAACAGACAGUUUGCUCGGAUAGUAAGCACCCCUUACUUCCAAUCCGAAGAUUGUAAGUUCGGAUUACUAAAAGAGCAAAAAGGAUGAAGCUCUUAAGAAGGGGUAAAAAUAAUGAUUUGAUGAUAAUAAAAAUAAGUACAGUUCAAUAUCUUUAAUUUGAGUGAUCUAGUUUUAUUUUGCUGACCAAAAACAGUCUAGUUUAAUUUAUCUUUAAUUACUUUUAAAAUGAUUUAAUGUGUACAAACUUUUUACACUAUCAAUGCAUAAAGAAUAAUGUCAAUACGGAAAACGAUGGAUCAUUUGCACGACCUAUCAAAUUUCCAAAAGAGACAAGGAGCCCUGACGCGUUAUUUAAGACUUUUUGUGAGCCUAUUGCAUAAAAAAUCUAUUCGUUGCGUGUCCAAUGAAUGGAUUGAAUUUGAAUUUUGAUCGAUUAAAAACUUAAAAUGGAGUAAUUUAAUAAGUGAGUGGGUGAUCAAGUGGAUUUCUAAACAACUAAUUGUUAAAUAUUGAGUUAAUUUAAUUUCAUAUAUUAAAUGAAAUUAAUUCUUAACAAGCUAAAACUGUUACAUAAAUUGAGAUGGAGACACUAAUAUAUAACACAUUUUUUAAAAUAAAAUAAAAUUAUAUGUUAAGCAAAAGGCCCACUACCCCAUGAAAUAAGUCGAAAAAAUGAAAAAUCUUUUUCGUAAGUCGUCUAAUGGUGCUCAAUUUAACAGCUUGUUUGGAUAGUUGUUAGCUAUUGUAUUAUUUCGUAUUGUGUUGUUGGUUUAAUUAUAAUAUGUAUUUUAAUUAUUUUUAAAAUUUUAUUAUACUAUAUUGUUAAAUUCAUCGUUGUGUAACGAUGAAAUUUUUCAUUUUAUAUAGCAAUUGAUGUGGUAUGAUCAUACCGUCAUUCUUUUCCACUCAUUGUAUUUUUGGUUAUUAUUUAAUAAUUGUGUUUCAUCCUUUAUUCUUAGCUUUUUUAUAAUAACUCUACAUGUAUCCUAUUCUUUUUUAUAGAUUUAUCCUUCAAACCAUUGAUAUGUCACGUUAUAUAAUAACAAAAAAGAUAUAAUUUACUCGAACGUUAUAUUCGUAAAAUAAUAAAAUACAACAAAAUAUGAUAUACACUAUGAAACCAAUCCUAACAAUCAUCCAGACCAAACUACAACACCAAUAACAUAUUCAUGGUGCAUGCAUAUGACCUACAAGUGAGAUAUUGAGAGAUUAUGACAUUCAUAAAUCUUAUUUAUCGUAUCUUUAUUUUAAUAAGCUAUUACAGAUAGACACUCGGCUGAAAAGAAAAGUUUUCAUAUGUGAAUUAGAAUAUGACUACGAAAAAAGGAAAAAUAGAAGCAAAAAGUAAGAAGUUCUAUGACAAAGACUUCAAAGUACAGCCAAUUACAUUGAGACCCCAUUACCAAAAUCAAACCGUAAGGAUCGGAUAACUGCAGACUUCAUUUUCAAUCCAAUUAAAUGGGGUCAUUUUGUUAUACAUAAUUAAUAAUUGUCGUGUAUACAUAUAUUGUUAAUAUCCAAAGUACUAUCAGUUAAAUAUAUAAAAAGGACAAAACUAAAAAGAGAGGGUAUUCUGUCAACUUUGAUGAACUUCUAGACACGUAUUGAGGCAUCUUAAUUAUGCAUGAAAACCAACAAACAGAUAUAGCAUAGUGAAUUCAUGUGGUUUACAUUUAAUAUUCAAUUAAAAAAACUAAAAAAAAUAACUAUUUUAUUUUAUUUAUUUAGUUUUGCAAUAAUUCUCAAGUCCGUGACUCAAAAGUCCAAAAUCCAUGUUUAUUUUAUUUAGAUUACGUAUUAUAAAAGAUAAUAAAUUGCUAACUUUAAGUUCAAAGAAAUCAUUUAAUCCUGGAUUAGGAGCUAAUUAAAGGGUCAUUUGGCAUAGCCGGAUUGGACAAAUUGCAAUUAUUGAAAUUCGAGAAUGAUGAACGUAUUGAUUUUUCAGACUGAUAUCUUGGUAAUUAGAAAAAUGAAGAAAACAAAAUUAAAAAGCCAAAAAUGUGCAUCCACAAUGACCCUAAUCAAGGGAUGUGCUUUCAAUUUACUUAUUUGGAUGGCUGUUACCUAUUGCAUUGUAUAAUGUUUUGUUUGAUUAUUAAUUAAAUCUUAUUGUAUCAUAAGGUUAAAUUCAUCGUCAGGUAACAAUAAAAGGUUCUAUUUUAUGUAGCGACCAAUUUGAGACCAUGGUCUCGUUACCUUAUUUCUUUUAUUUUGUCUUUGUUUAUUAUCCAAUAAUUUUACUUUAUUCUUUAUAUUACUUUUUUUUUAUAAUAGAUCUACCGGUACCCUACUUUUCUAAUAGUUUUAGCCUUCAAAUUGCUAUGUAACAUUAUGUAACGACGAGAGAAACAAUACAAUCAGUCUAAAUAUAAUAUUCAUCGUAAUAAUAUAGUACAUAUAAUAUGAUUAAUAUAUAUAAUAUAUUAUGAAACGAUAAGCAACCACAUUCCAACAAAGUAAGGUGGAAGCCCUAAACAGGGGAAGAAAAACCACACGUUCACUCCAAAAAAAUAAUAUUGCAACUUGCAACAAUGCGUUGGAAUUUAACGCGGAAUCCCAUUUGUUUGAAAACCAAAAGUCUUUUUUAUAUUUUGUUUUACAACUAAAAACAAAUUAAUGAAUGCAUCGACUGGGACUUUUGUAUCCUAAUGAGAUACUACUUGUGUAGCUCAAUUAAGGAAAUUAUUUAAGAUUUUGUAGACUUCGAUUCGAUGUGACAAGUAAACGGGGUAUGACCCUACCGACUGUUGGGUUCAGUCGAUUCAAAGAUAUUCUUACAUGAUGUGAUAUUGCAUGCUUGGUUCAAAUCUGUAUGGUGAUAUUCAAUGGCGGAGUUAGGAUUUCCAUUGAGGGGUUCAGUAGUAUAUAUACGAACUAGUCGAAGGGAGUUCAACAUCUACUAUAUAUGUAUAAAAAUAUUUUUAAUCAUGAAAAAUAGUAUAAUUUUUCGUCGAAGUGGGUUCAGAUUAAACCCCCUGGAGCAAAGGUGGCUCUGCCACUGGUGAUACCCAAAAUGCAUCACAUCGGGGAGGAGCCAAACUUUUGGUGCUCCAGCACUCAGUAAAUUCGACAUUAGGUAUAAUUAUAUAAAAAAUGUACAAAAUCUGAAAUAGGAUUUAAAAAAACACUCAGUAAACCAAGAAGAUAGCUAGGUGUUUUAGUUUUCAGGCGGAAUCUUAAAGCUUGGGACGUCAAUAUGCAUGUUCGAACCUUCCAUGCACCGACGAUCCCUAAAUUGUGGAUCCGCCACUGCAUCACACCAUUAAGAAAUCAUAUACUAUGUAAUAUUCGAAUCUUUUUAGCCACCAAUAUAAAACUUUUAUUAGCAAACCCAACACCAACUGCUUCAAAAUGGAAUAAUGCAGGUAGUAUAUCUCUGACAAACAUUAAUCUUAAAAGUAUGUUUCUAUUUAUUUUCAGAUAAUGGUAAUGGUUAUGUCAAUUUUAGCGCUUCGACUAUUUCAUUGUGCAUUUACUUUGACACUCAUCAGUAUGAUAUUUGAGCAAACUCUACUAACUAAAUUUUAGACAAAUUAAAUUAAGUGCAUGUUUUUUUUUAAAUCUCUAGUGUUUGAAUUCUUGGUUCCAACUUUCAAGGAUGAGGACACCUAUCUCAUUAUCACAAGCCACAUACUUAGCUGCAAUUUUAAAUCGAUUUUUGAAGAGCCUUUAUUACUACAAGAGAAGUUUUCUUAUUUUAGUUAUAUAAAUUUUAAUUUUACCUUGUUAGGUAGGUAAUUGAACCAUCACCAAUAUUGUAAAAGUUCACGUCUAAUAAGACUAUUCAGAUAGGAACCCUUCUACAGUUGAAGCUUGCCAACUUUUUUAAAAUGGUCGAACUGUCCAAAAGAUAAUGUAGGUAUUACACAAUUAACCUGGCGGUCAUAAUAGGUUAAACCCAAAUUAACCGUUAAAAUUAUAUAAAAAUAGCAUUUACUGAUCACUUUUUAACCCUAGUUUCGUAAGUAGUCACAAACUCCUGAAAAUGGGAGUUGUCCCUUACUUGUGGACCAAAUUGGGCCGAACGAGAUAUUCAACUACUUGUCAAGCCAGUUGAAAAGCCCAAUACAAAGUGCUCAAUGCUCCAACUAAAAGAUGAAAUAGAAGAUCUAGAAAUUACAUAUAUAUAUAUAUAUAUANNNNNNNNNNNNNNNNNNNNNNUAUAUAUAUAUAUAUAUAAGGUAACUUUAUUUUAUUACAUAAAAUCUCAUAUUGAAAAAUAAAUUUAAAAAAUCUCAAAUUAAUUACUUAAAUUCCUAACUUUUUUAUUUUCUCUCUCUUCCUUCUUAUACAUCCUAAAUAGCUCCAUAGUUUCCUCCUAAAAUCUUGCUAGCUACCUUAUCUCUCCAAUUAUUUAUCUGCAUUAAACCUCCUUACCCACAAAUUCCGAUCUACAAUAAUCUCUCAAAAAAAAAAAAAUCUUCUCCAUUUUCUCCGUCCAAAAUCAACAAAAUCUUUUCCGGCCAAAAUUAUCUUUUCUCCGGUCAAAAUCGACAGAAUUUUCUCCAUUUUCAUCAAAAAUUCAGAAAAAAAACUGCAAUUUCAUCCAAUAUAAGCUUCUCUGAAUUCGGGAAUAUAUGCUUCUUUGAAUUUCAUCAAAAACGAAUUAAGUUGAAUCUUCUCCAUUUAAUGGUCGUGUGUUAUUAUUUCCGUUGUUGAUUUUGUUCUUGGCUCUUUUGAUUAUGAAAAAACCAAUUUCGCAGAGAAUCAUUCGAAGCACCGAAACGAUCCAGUAACAAUGAAGAAAUUGAGGGAAGUUGCCGGUUCAAGUUCAAACAAGAAAGCUCUAAAAUCGUCAAGUAAGAAAAAGGUUGAUGAUUCUGGACGACCACGUCUGCCGAAGGUUUAGUUAUCAUUAAAAUAUGUAUUAGUAGCACUAUUCUAUGUAUAUAAUUUCAUUAUACAGUUGUUAAGAUUAUAUAGUGAAGUAUAUAAGGUGGCCGUAUACAUGUGAAACAGUGUUAGAUUAUAUUUAUUACUUGUAUAAGGUUUACACAUACAUGUGAAACUGCUGUAUGAGGUUGUCUUUUAUUUGUUUUGGCGGUACGAUUCUAUGUAUAAGAUUUCACAAUACAUGUAUUAAUACUAUAUUAUUAAUUGUAGAAGGUUUACACAAAUAUGUUUAAUAAUGAAAAAAUUUCAGAAAUAGCAACUAUAGAGUCUUAAUUGUAAGUUUUAUAGCAACCCUUUCAAAAUUACAAAAAAUAGCAAUAUGUAUUUUGUAUUUGAUUAAAUUGUUGCUAGUUAAAUGCAUAUACAAUUAAAGAUUCUGUUCCUAAUUUAACUCCAAUCUGUUUUAGUUUAAUAUGGGAAAAACGGUUCCUUAAUUUAAGGAACAUUUAAUUUGACAGAUUUCUUAACCGUUUACAAAUAUCUUUCUUUUAAUGACUCUAUUUUAACCACAACCAUUAUUUUACAGUAACAUAAUUCAAAAUUCAAAAACUUUUUUCAUAAUCUACAACUCAUAUCAAUUUUAAAAAAAAAAACGACUGCUUUCAAAAUUUAUGUGCAUCGUCUAAUGUUUUGAGAAGAGUUUGAUAAGACAACACUGCAAAUACAGGUAUCAAUAAACAAAUAUGAUUUUGUUUGUGAAUUUUCGGACUAUAUUUGUGAAAAUCGCUGAAAAAAUCGUAACAACAAUGGUUUGAUCAGUUUUCGAACAAAGUGGUUUGAUCGAUAAUUUCUUUUUACAAAUUAGAGUUUUUCAUCACGUUAUGUAGGUUGAAUAUUGAUAUACAAUUGUUAUUGUUUAUUUUGUAUUUUUUUCCGUUUCAAUUAAACAAUUUGUUCUUGUUGGAUUUCGUUUUGAAGUUUUGUAUAUAAUAAUAAGUUAUUGUGUCAAAGGGUUUGAACAUUGUAGACCUGUAAUAAUCGUUGAUGCAAAUCAUCUCAGAAAACUGUAUACUAGUACUUUUGUAACUACUUAUACCAUGGAUGGAAUCAUAAGUCCUUCUUAUAUAUGCAUUUAACAUUGCAUAUACUGCCAGCUAUAUGUAUUUGUAAAAUACAUAAGCAGUCUGUUUAUGUGAUCACUGGUAGUUACUUUUAUGUAUUUCAAUUUACAUAUGUUGCCAGCAAUAUGGAUUUCAAAAAUACAUAUGCACUCUGUUUUAAGUGUUUGAUUGCAUUUAUUUUUAAAAAAAAAUAAAAAUAUGAAGGCCUUAUAUUUCUAAAAAUACAUAUUGAGACAUGCAAUAUACAUAUGCAGAAUUGGUAAAAUACAAUUGCUAAAUUGGAACAAUUACAAAUGUCAAUGAAUAAUUGUUGUUAUAAUUUUAAUUUUAUUUUAAUAAUUUCAGGUUAUACCAAUCUCAGAGUAUGUCUAUACAGUACAUGACAAGGAUAAACAUUUUAUUGUUUGCCUUAAGAAAAAAAAUUCUUGCCAUGCAUUCCAAUAGGACGAGAUACCGUGUUUGCAUGUUUAUGAAGUACUUGAUAGCAAGAAUUUUCAAAAGGGAUCAUAUUACUCUAACCUAUACAAAUCAAAAACUGUGUCAAGAACGUAUGAUCUUCCCAUUUAUCCUAUACCACACAAAUAUGAUUGAGUGAUUCCACAGGAGAUAUUGGAGGAGAUAGUUUUGCCCCCAAAAUACAAGCGACCCCCUGAAAGACCUGCAAAGAAGGAUUGUGAAAAGUCAGAAAGAGAUAUGUUCGAGAAGAAAAACAAAAAUUAUUAUAGUUCAUGUGGAUUUAAAGGUCACAAUUGGUGUUCAUGUAGGAAAUAUAAUAAAUGAUAAGUUUACAGAUGUAUUCAGUUCAAAAGCAAUUGUUUUUUUUAUUGAUUAUUUUAUGAUUCUAAAUUUUGAUACAAACUUUUGAUGAUGUUGACUUUGUUGUAGUUAAAUUGCUGCAAAUGUUAUCAUCAUGAAUAUAUUUUAUAGGACAUAUACCAUUAUUUAUUUAUACGUAAAAGAGUGUACACCAUACAAGUCAAUUUUUUGGUAUGAAAAAUACAUAUGAGAUUCUAAUAAAAACGUAUACCGAUCUAUAAAAACUAAAAAUAAGUUAACAUAUAUUUAUGUAAUAAUUAAAAUUACAUUUAAUGACUUAUCAAUUACUUAAUUAGAACUUGAAAUUCAUUUAUUUUUAAAAAAAAAAAAAACAUAUGCAUUAAUCAUAAAUAAAUAUGCAUUAUUCAUAGAUAUAUACGAAUAACUAUGUAUGUAUAAAUCAUAAAUACAUAUGCUUCUUAAAAAUACACAGACUUAUGCAAAACAAUACAACAACUUUGUAUUGUUCGAAAGUAUAUGUGCAUAACUGGAAAAAAUAUAUAUGCAUUACUCAAAAUGCAUAUGCAUUAUAAAAAAAUACAUAUUCAUACAAUGAAAAAUAUUAUAUGCAACCUCAACUUACCUUAUAUGUAUUACAAAAAAAUACAUAUGCAUACAAUGAAAAAUAUAAAUACACUAUUGAAAAAUACAUAUGAUGACUGAAACAUAUAUAUUCAUUACUGAAAAUUAUACUUAAAACUGAAAAUCACAUAUUCAUACCAAAAUAUGUGUAACUAACAAUAACAUAAAGUAAGAUCGAACAAUUCUAUUUUAGAAGCAUAACGAUCAAAAAUCUAACAAUCACAUAAAAAAAUAUUAAGAUAUCAUCUUUCAACUAUAUCAUAGUCCUCCUAAAGUUCAAUGUUGCCAAAUACAACAAAUACAAAUAAACUUCAAAUAUCAUGCACUUUAGUAUCUUCUAUUAGCCCAAUAUCUUUAGGAGGCCUCAUUGGUGUUUCAUCAUCACUUUCAGCCUUCCCAUCUUCUUUCCUCGAAGCAUAAUUUCACAACAUUAAAAUAGAUCUCGUGCGAAGAAGAUCUGGAUCAAAGUCAAUAGUUGAAACACAGUCAUCAAAAGUAAGGCACUUAGCAUAUGUCACCAUAUAUAAAAACUUAGAACAAACAAAUACAAAAUACAUAUCUAACCCCUAGCAAAUGCAUUAUAUAUAAUUACAACAUACAAAAUACGUAUCUUAAAAAUAACAAAUACAUAUCUCCACACUACAAUUCCAUAUCUUCACAAUAACUCUCACAUAAGCAGAUAAUUUAUCAAAUGUAUAUAUAAAAUACAUAUAUGAUCAUACAGUCCAAAAAAAAUUAAAAUACAAAUGCAUAAAAUUUUAUGAAUACAUGAAUGGUCUAAAAUUUAAAUUACCAAGAAAAGAAUACAACUGAACAUCAAAUACAAAUCUUCUCAAUAACUAAUACAGAUAUCCUACACAUAUCUUAAAUACAAAAUACAUAUAUUAAAUAUGUUAUACAUAACAAAACAAAUCUUAUCAGUAACAAACCUAAAUACAAAAUACAUAUCUUAAAUAUAUAACAGAUACAUAUCAUCCCAUUAGCAACUGCNNNNNNNNNNNNNNNNNNNNNNNNNNNNNNNNNNNNNNNNNNNNNNNNNNNNNNNNNNNNNNNNNNNNNNNNNNNNCAGAAAUUAUAAAAUUUUACAAAUAGAAAAAUACCUCUUCCACUUUCUCUUCUUCAGAUUCAUAAUCAGAUAAAAAAACAAGACUUGAAAUUUGACAAGAUUCUCCUUUUUCAUCCGACUUUCUCUUUUUCACCAAUUUUUAAAUUUUUGUGAGUUUUGGGGAUGAAGAUUUUCUCAAUGCUUUUCGUUUCAUGAUUUCCACAAUCUUUUUCGGAUCGUUACGCUGAUUCGAUCUCACCUCUACUUUGCUAACANNNNNNNNNNNNNNNNNNNNNNNNNNNNNNNNNNNNNNNNNNNNNNNNNNNNNNNNNNNNNNNNNNNNNNNNNNNNNNNNNNNNNNNNNNNNNNNNNNNNNNNNNNNNNNNNNNNNNNNNNNNNNNNNNNNNNNNNNNNNNNNNNNNNNNNNNNNNNNNNNNNNNNNNNNNNNNNNNNNNNNNNNNNNNNNNNNNNNNNNNNNNNNNNNNNNNNNNNNNNNNNNNNNNNNNNNNNNNNNNNNNNNNNNNNNNNNNNNNNNNNNNNNNNNNNNNNNNNNNNNNNNNNNNNNNNNNNNNNNNNNNNNNNNNNNNNNNNNNNNNNNNNNNNNNNNNNNNNNNNNNNNNNNNNNNNNNNNNNNNNNNNNNNNNNNNAAAAGGAUAAAUUGCUUGAAAAUAGGUAAAGGAAAAGCAAUUGGUGGAAUUCACAUGCUUAACUCUAGAAAAGUCAAAAUAUUGCUAGUUUUGACAUAAGUUGUAAUUUUGAGAAAGUGUUGUUAUUAAUUGUAAUUAACAUCUUAAGGUUGUUAGCUUCUGUAAUUUAUCUUUUAAUAAUGUACUAAAAUUUGGUAACCUUAUACAUGAAAUUAUAUUGUAUGGAGAUAUCGUAACAUUGAAUUGGUUGAUCCAUACAAACGCUUCACUACAUGUAUAUUAAUUACUAUAGCAUAAGACGAUACAAUGAUAGCUGCAAAAGAAAAAAUUCUCACGAAAAUAUUGUACGAUGAUAUAGAUAUCAUGUCAAAAUAUUUCAUCAUACAUAAGUCUAUAUGUAUGAUGAGUCAUUAUACAUUAGUAUACCAGAUUUUUACACAUUUAAUAAUGUAUAGGAACAAUCAAUACAAUAGUAAUUACAUUAACCGCAGUAACAUAUUAAAAAACGAACUUCUUUAAGAAUCUAUAACAAUCAAAUUUUCCAUAUUUAUUCAACGUAUAAUAUAAUACAAUACAUAUCAGAAAAAAAUAACAAAACUUAACAACUAUAAUACGACAACUGCAAUUUCUAUUAAAAUAUGUAUUAGUGGCACUAUUCUAUGUUCAUAUUGAUUUUUUUGAGAACUGAAGAAAGCACUAGAAGAUGGGUUUUUUUUAACGCAAUUUAACAAAGAAGAAAAUUUAAUGUGAUGUUUAACAUAUAUUUUGAAUUUAAAUUUCACUUAUUAUAUUUAAUAAUACAUCACUAAAUAUUAAGUAAUUAAUGGCGUGAAUUAAGGAACAGGUUGAUAUUAUCAAAUUUAUUUUUACUUAGAUAUAGCCUAUUCAGCUUUAUCAUACAUUCCAGCAAUACAUGAAGGUUGACCAGAUGUAUAAGUAUCUUUUUCAAAACAGGGAGAGAGAAAGGCUGGAGGGAUUUUAUAUAAUUACUUUCAUUUACUAAAGGAUUUACAUAGUUUAUACAAAAAGAUUAAAAGAAAAAUAUUUCUUUACACAUUGUACUAAGAAUUUGUGGGAUCUUGAUUUGUCGUCUACGCUGAGUUAUGAUCAUAUCACACGUAUUUGCGUCAGUAUAUAUUGACCCAAACUAGCUUUUAAACCAUUUAAUUGCACCACCUAUCUUUGGACUUGGUUUCAAUUGUUGUUCUUCAAAUGAUGGUCUUCUAUGAUCGCGGUAUCCGAACCAAUUUUCACGCAACUCGCUAAUCGAACUUAUAUCUAGUGAGACAUGCAUUCUUUAAGAGCACGAGACAUAAUUUGUGAGUUAUCAUAAUGUGAAAAUAUAAACUUAUGCCCUACUAAAAAGUUAAUUUGACUUAACGGGCAAAGUUUUUUAUUUUUUUGAUUAAGAAAAAUCGUUCCUAAACAGCAGCCGAGCAAGCGAUGACGACAUGAGGCACCUCUUGGUUCUUGCCUUACUUCACGGGCAAAGUUUUAGACCAGCACAAAAUAAGGGCAAAAGCAAAUGACUCGCCUUACCCAGAUUGACACCCCUAACAAAUAGAAUUCAUAGGUCCAAUAAUUGAUUUCAUAAACUUUAACAAAUUUAACUUCUAUCAUCACUUUCCAGUAAUUGGUUAAUCAUUUUGCCAAUGCGGGGAAUAUUUCCAUUAAUCUUCAAGAAUCCAUAGAGUCAUUACUGCUAGUGCUGAAUAUUGUUCAGUAGUAAUUCUUAAAAAGUAUACAUAGGCAAAUAUAGGAAAGCCAAAAGUACAGAACAAGUGUAACCUUGUGCACCUCUUUAAAGCCAAAUUUCACAAUAAAAUCGAAGACCAAUUCUGCUACCCACGUUAAUUACUAAAAGAGCUUUAAGUUUUGCUUCAGCGUAACUGUCAGAUAGUUUCUUCAUUCUUGCACAAUAAAACAAAGGUUACUGUAACAGAAAGAUUAACUGUAAUUGGUGUUCAUUGUCAUAUCAAUCAUCGAUGUGAAUUUCGUGUACUAUCUCAGCUACCAUGGAAAAGCAAUUAGUUCAACAAUUAUUUGAUCUCAAAAGGACGGUCAAUCUACUUAACUUUAAGAUUAUAUCUUCUAAGAUUCCGGAACUAGCCAAAUCAAAACUCUUAAAUAUGAAAAGAUUCUGCAGAAAUGGGACAAAAGCAAAAGUAACGUCAGUCUGUUGGCUGCAAAUGUCGAACCAAGACUUAUUUUCACUGUUUCAAGCACUUACACAGUUGAUUAUACAUGACUAGAAAUGCAGGAAGCACAUUUGUGGAUCCAAUUGCAACUAGCUCCUAGCUCAAGGUUCUCCACCAAGCUCCACUCUUAAGUUGUCGUAUGGAUAGACCUUUGGUGUCUGCUCAUUAAAAAAACAGAAGUUACAGAAAGAAAGAAAAAGAACAAUGGCCAGCCAGUAAAGAUGAAGAUAGGGGGGGAAUUAAAAGCAAGAGUUUUAUGAUAAUCAGAGAAUAAGAGAGGUCGCAAGCAGUUAAGAUGGAUUAUAUAUAAUAGUAAAAGCGCCUUCACAGAGUAUGCGAUACCUUGGUAUUUAUAUUUAACAUUUGAUAGUGGGAUCGCAUGGCCAGCAUUACUUGCUGANNNNNNNNNNNNNNNNGGGAAAGAGCCCAUGCAUGUGUCCUACGCGCGCCCUUCCCAACAUCCUUAAGGGAAGAAGGGGGUGAUCCAAUGACUUCUCCCUACUAGCAGGUGGAAGUCGCGUGUACCUCUCUCAAAUGCUUUCACCUAACGCUUAGGUUAUUGAUAAGGGCCAGUACUGCUCAAAACACAAUCUCAAAUUUCCUUCCCCCCAGAUGCUUUGAAUAUAAGAAAAUGAUAAAUACUAUCAACUAUGUUACAGACAAUCACUAAGAUGCAACCUCAGAAAGUGUCUAGACAGUCUCAUACAUUUUCUAGUACAACUUGUGGAACUUUAAUCACGUUAACUAGCAGGUAUAGUGUCAAAUCUUAAGCUGCUGUAGAAGAAGCCAAGAGCAGUCUAUAUUAUUGAGAUGAUUAAGGAUUCAAGAUUCUAAAGAAGGAAACUCUAGUUCACGUCCUUAACUCUGACAUGUUUCUGUAACCAUUUUCGGCACUUGCAUGAAAAGUGAAUUCGAAAAGCAUAACAGCACCCAGUAUCUGUUGAGCAUUAAUAUAGCUUCAUUCGAACGUGAAUUCUAUGCACCCCCCGCGCGCGCACACACAAAAAAAAAAAAAAAAAAAAAGAAUCCAAAAUUUCUUCUACAUCGUACUACUUGAGUGAAUUAGUCUAGUCUCUUGCUUAUGUAUUUUUUUUCAUUUUAUUUUAGAAUAUAACUGUUUACGAUCUUGCAAACAAACACCCAUAAACUCCAACAAGUACCAUAGAACAUAUUGAACACAUUGAUAUCUUCACAAACUUCCAUAGAUAGAGCAAAGAAAGUGCAAUGUAGUUGUGGGAAUAGCACACAGCAAAUUAGUAACAAUACUGCGCAAAUCUAGUGGUGUGUUAUCCCAUUUUGUUGUUUGUUUUUAUGUCUUUUGUUUCUUAUACUGCUAUUUUUCCUGAGCUAGGGGUCUAUCGAAAACACCCUUUCUACUUCAUCAUCUGAGGUAGUAGUGUGGACUACGUACAAUUUGACCUCCCCAGACCCCACCCCACCACCCCACUUCUCUGUGGGAAUACACUGGGUAUGUUUUGUUGUUGUUGUUACUAAGCCACAGGGAUAACUUGGAUCUUUAGGCAGCAUAUAACAUUCAACAGAGAAGUUGAUUAUUAAAAAGAACACAACAUCAACAAAUAACUUGAAACCAUUAUACUAUUUUCUAAAACAAUAAAGCUUAAGAGAGUUCUUUUAAUGCCUACCUAAUCAAAUCACAACCAACAUCAAACAACUUUAUGAAUACAAACAAAACCUAGACAAUGAUAGCAUAACUCAUAUUAGUAAAGGACAUCUAGUUGGAUUACCGCACAACAAAAUAAAAUAAAUAAUAACUUGCAUAUGACAAUUCUACGUGGACUAAUCUAUCCCUAAUACGAACCUUCAGCAAACAUUUAUCAUCUAUUGGCACUUCAUCACACAAAGUUAAGUAUAUUUGAUAGCGUAAAACUUUGGUUUCUUCAAUGACUUACAAUCUGACCAAGAAAACAAAGACAUAUUUGUCUUAGAUGAAGUAAAAGGGAUUUCACUAAAACAGCAUCCAGAGUGUGCAAAAUACAAAAAGGAUAGCACCAGUACAAGGAAUCCUCUAAUAAAUUUAGGUCAACGUUCUCCCUAGAAAAUACUUCCCUAAGUAUUUACCAAAACAACACACGAGAAAAUAGGAUAACACUUUCCUCCAUACCAAACACAACAUUAAUGAAGAAGUGGCAAAAGGAAAUUGCCAUGGAAAAAAAACUUAGGAUAUGAAGCUCUAAUUGAUCAAAUCCAGGUGGAGAAUUCAAACCCCAAGAUACUAGCGCUUGCAGAGCCAGAAUGGGAUUUAAUUAAGGUCAAGAAACGAAAAGGUGUUAAGGUGGUGCAUUGAGGAAAUGCAGAUUCUAGCUCUAGCAAUCCUUGAAGUACUAUACCACGGAUAUUUUCCCCAUCCCACUGGGGCGAUCUUUAUUUUUGAGAAGUAAUGAAAGAUCCAAAUGGUAUGCUGUUGUAGUUAAAAAAGAUCUUAAGGCAUUAUAACUAGUGGUGGAUUACUGGAUUGACUACAGGUGGUGAAACAUCAGGCAACCCCCUAUUCACUGAUGGUUUGGUUGAAGGUGCUGUGCACCAAAAGUGUGCAGAAGAAUUGACAGGGUGAGAGAUCGAGAGAAUCAGGCAGAUGCUCUGAAGGACUUGUUAGGCACUAGGCAUCUCUUAAGUUUGAUAGGACAAAGUACGUGAAUAAUUUGGCAAAGAAUAAGUAAUACUCUUUUCUGGUUUUUUGAUUCUAGCAUUACAUAAUUCUGCCAUAAUACCACAAUAUUUCAACAUUGAUUUUCCCAACUUAAAAGGAGAAGGUCACAUAAUAAACUCUAAUAAUCCACAUGAUGCUGGUCAUUUGGCCACAGAACAAAGAAACCACAGCUGCAAAAGAGUUCUUCUUUAGUUUUCAUCCAACACUAAGCUUAGCAAACACCUCAAAGUAGCUUAGCCACAAAUCGACACAGUAAACAAGACACAAGUACAUCUAUUGUAAACACACUCACAACAAAGUACAACUCACAUCUGGACAACAUAGUACAGUAAUGUCAUGUCAUCAAAGCAUAAUUGAUUCACAUUAAAAUGGAAAAACUGAAUUAGAAUUCAAUAAACGUAUACUUACAAAUGGGAUUUUGGAGGCCUUGUCAUUCCAAACAGCUAACAAUCCAAUCCCAGCAAAACAACUCAAUCCACCACACAACCAAGCCAAUGCCUCAUACUGACAUUAAAAGCAGUUCAAGAAUCUUCAAUUAUCAUAUAUACUUAAUUUGACUAACAAAAGAGAAACACAGAAAAUAGUAAACUGUAAAAACCAUGAAGAUGAUUCAAAUACUAAUCCCCCUUUCCAACAGAUACAAAAUCCUCGGAUCACAUUGCCGAUUCGAAUACAAAAUACAAAUCUUAAACCAAAAAUCUAACCUCUCCAACUAGAUAUAAAAUCUUCAAAGUUUAAUUACUAAAUCUUCAACUUUUAAUCUACUAUCAAAAUAAAAAAUGUAAAACAUGAAAAACAAUAAAAAUGGGAUUCCAAUAACAAUCUUUAUCAAAAUAUCUAACCUUUCCAACAUCAACAAGCAAAUCUCCAAUAAAUAACAACAUACCCAUUAUGAUCCCACGAAGUGUAGUCAGAAGAGAGUACGAGUACACUGUAUGCAAACCUUACCCCUACCUUAUAGGUCAAGAGGUUGUCUCGGAUGAGACCCUCAGCUCAAGGGAAAAUAGUCCAAAGCAAUCAGAAAAAGAAGUAACACAAGUACAAGAAACAAAACAGAAACUACAAUACUAUAAUACGAUAAUCGAGGUAUAAGUAACAACACAGAGUAACAAAAAUCAAAGGACCAAAGGACAAAAACUACCAAAGCAAUUAAUACUAUGGCUACUAAUAUAAAAGGGACACAAGAUUAACACACUAUACGCUGAUCCAUAUCCUCCACGCCCUCCUAUCUAAGCUCAUAUCCUCGAUAAGCAAGCAAAUCUCCAAUAAACACUAAAACCAAUUCAACAAAAAAAUGAAAAAUUUUAAACAAUAGCAAUUAAAUGGGAAUCCAAAAACAAAUCUUCAAUUACCAACAAAAAAAAAUAAAACCUUUCCAACAGUAUCUACUAUCUGAUCAGAUAGUAAUAGAACAGAAACUACAAUACUACAAUACAAUAAUCGAGGUACAUGGAACAAUAGAGAGUAACAGAAAUCAAAAGACAAGAACUACGGAAGCAAUAAUACAGUGGCCACUAAUAUGAAAGGGCCACAAAACAGCGCACCGCUGCCUACUAGGCUUCUACCCUAAUCCAUAUUCUCCACGCCCUCCUAUCUAAGCUCAUAUCCUCGAUAACCAAGCAAAUCUCCAAUAAACACUUAAACUAAUUCAACUAAAAAAUGAAAAAUCAUAGACAAUAGCAAAUGAAAUGAAGAUCAAAAACACAAAUCAUAAAAUUAAAUAAAAAAUCUAACCUUUCCAACAGUAUCUGCUAUUCGAUCAAUACACGGCUCCGGAAAAGGAGUUCCAUUAUCCCAUAUAAGUUCAUCAUUCACUUGAAGCUACAAAAUAAAUAAAUAAAUAAAAUUAAAACAAAAUUAGGGUUUACAAAUCAAAUUUUUUUAAAAUUAAAAAUAAAAAGGUAUAAGUACUGUAUAUAAUAUAUUUAUACUAUAUGCAUUUACCGGCUUAUCAGGUACAAUGUGUUUGCCGACGGGAAGGCCCAUGCCGGCGCGUGUUCGAAGAGAAGAUGCGACGGCGCGUGAAACGACGCCGUUACCUCCCAUGAUGCGUGUAGCUGCAUUGCUUAAUCUUCCGGCCAUUUUUCGAUGAUCGGAAAUUGUUCGCUUAUCGCCGAUGGUUUUUUCGUAAUUCAACGAUUUGUGAUUCAGCUCACUUUUUGUUUUUUCCCUAGUAGAGAUUUGUGAUUCGGGUAAUGAACUCAAACGUUACCUAUUUUAUGUUUUGAUCCUUGUUUUAGUGUGAGUUGCAGAAACGGAACCAAAGUUUACUAGUUUACAAAUACGUCCCUCUAAAGAUGGAAAUGUUGGAAAAGAAAUGUACCUCCAUAUAUAUAAUAGAGUAAAGAAGUUUGCAUAAAAUUAUGUCAAGUGGCAUAUUGAGAACUAGUCACUUAAUAUUUUGGCAACAAAAAUCUGUUUUCUUGGUAACAAAAUUUAUUUAACUGAUUAAUUAUUUAUUUUAUAUAUAGAUUUUUAAAUUUUCAUAUCUAUUUUCAUAUUGUGGUAAAAAAUAUUGAAUGACCACUAUUAUUUAUUUUUAUUCUAUUAUAUCAUAUUUUCAUAUUGUGAUAAAAAUAAUUAUAAUUGACUCCUAUGAAUGAACACUAUUAUAAUUAUUUAUAUAUUUCAACUCUUUAUAUAUAAUAAAGCAAAAUGUUUGAUGAAUAUUUUUGUUUAUUUUUAUUCUAUUAUUUCAUAUUGUGAUUAAAAAAAUUAGAAUUGAUUACUAAUACUAAUAAUGAACACUAUUAUAAUUAUUUAUAUAUUUCACAUCUAUAUAUAUAAUAAAGCAGAGAAGUUUGCAUAAAAUUAUGUCAAGUGCCAUUUUGAGAACUAUUCACUUAAUAUUUUGGCAACAAAAAUCUAUUUUGUUGGCAACAAAAUUUAUUUUACUGAUUAAUUAUUUAUUUUAUAUAUAGAUUUUUAAAUUUUCAUAUCUAUUUUCAUAUUGUGGUAAAAAAAUAUUGAAUAAACACUUAUUUAUUUUUAUUCUAUUAUAUCAUAUUUUCGUAUUGUGAUAAAAAUAAUUAUAAUUGACUCCUAUGAAUGAACACUAUUAUAAUUAUUUAUAUAUUUCACAUCUAUAUAUAUAAUAAAGCAGAGAAGUUUGCAUAAAAUUAUGUCAAGUGCCAUUUUGAGAACUAUUCACUUAAUAUUUUGGCAACAAAAAUCUAUUUUGUUGGCAACAAAAUUUAUUUUACUGAUUAAUUAUUUAUUUUAUAUAUAGAUUUUUAAAUUUUCAUAUCUAUUUUCAUAUUGUGGUAAAAAAAUAUUGAAUAAACACUUAUUUAUUUUUAUUCUAUUAUAUUAUAUUUUCCUAUUGUGAUAAAAAUAAUUAUAACUGACUCCUAUGAAUGAACACUAUUAUAAUUAUUUAUAUAUUUGAACUCUUUAUAUAUAAUAAAGCAAAAUAUUUGAUGAAUACUUUUGUUUAUUUUUAUUCUAUUAUUUCACAUUGUGAUAAAAAAAUAAUUAGAAUUGACUCUUAUUAAUGAACACUAUUAUAAUUAUUUAUAUAUUUCACGUUGUGGUAAAAAAUAGUUAAGUUUGACUUCUAUUUAAUUAGUAUAUAGAUUAUUUCAUAAAUAUGUAAAAAUUCGACAUAAAAAUUUCGUCAAUUGCUCCUAAUUCCACUGUCAUUAGAAGUAAUUUCACAAUUUGUAUUCUAAAUAUAUAUUCCAAUCAAGUUAUAGGGGUAAUUCCACAGUCUGUAUUCUAAUUUUCAAGUAUAUAUUUCAAUCAAUCAAGUGAUUUAAGAAGAUCAUCUGUCAAUUACUCCUAAUUCCACUAUCAUUAGGAGUAAUUCCAUAAUUUGUUUUCCAAAUAUAUAUUCCAAUCAAGCUAUAGGAGUAAUUCAUCAAUCUGUAUUCCAGUUUCCAAAUAUAUAUUGCAAUCAAACGAUACUCCUAAUUUCACAAUUUGUAUUCCAAUUUCCAAAUAUAUAUUUCAAUCAAUCAAGUGAUUUAACAAGAUCAUACAAAUGGUAGAUGGACAUGGUAAGUGAAUUGUAAAUUUCCUUACUCCCAUAGAUAAAAAGUAGAUGGUUAUGCUAAGUGAAUCGUAUAUAUAUUAAAUCAAACCUUUACACUGCCAAUCAUUACCAUAUAUGGCUAUGGUAAGUGCUACUAAAUUAUAAUAUAACUAAUCAUGAGGCAAUAAUUUUAUAUGGAAAAGUAAUAUAUUUUCAUCAUAUAUUCUGAUCAUAGUUGAUUCUAACUAAUUUUAUAAAAAAAAUCAUAUAAUUAUAAAAGAAAAUGCAUAGUUAACAUAAUUAUUAUUAGUUAAGAUGAGUGUCAUCUUGAGAACUAACUAUUUGAAAUCUUAUAACAAAAAACUAUCAUUUCAUAACAAAAAACUAUUUUGUUUAUUAUUUAAAUAUUAAAUAUUAUUUCAUAUUGUGGUAAAAAAAUAAUUAAAAUUCAUUUCUAUUAGAAGAAAACUAUUAUGAUUUAAUAUUAUUUCGUUUAAUUUAUUUCAUAUUGUGGUAAAAAUAUGGUAAAAAACAAUUAACAUUAAUUUCUAUUAGAUGAAAACUUUUAUGAUUAUUCAAUUAUUUCAUAUAUAUAUAUCAUUUGGUAUCUGUUUGGAAAAUCGUUAUUACUUGAAAUAAACACAAAAUUCAAUUACUUUCACUUCUAAUUAAAAAAAUAACAAAGGGACAGGGAUAAAAAUAGCCCAAGUGACAUCUUGAGAACUAGCCAGUAACUAAGUUUGACUAAUAUUGAAUGAAAACUACCAUUACGGAAAGAGAGAUAAUUAUGUAAUCAAUUAAAUAUAAAAAAUUACAGGAGAUGUAGUGCACAAAAAUAGAAAACUUUUAGUAUUUACUUUUCAUCAAUUCUAUAUUAAUCAGAAUUAAAGCAUAAUCUUUACAUUUAAACGAUUUAUACUUGAGUUGUAGGUUAAGAAUUAUAAAUUGCUAAUAAAAUUAUUAAUGCGUAUUAAUUUUCCUUUAUAGAUAGACUUUUUUCAACAUGUUAGGUCAUUCUAUAAAACAUUUACUAUAUUGUGUAUAAUAUUAUCAUAAAAUAAUAAUUUAUUUUCAUGAAAUCUCUUUUUUUCCAUAUAAAUGAAUUUUAAAAAAAAUAUAAAAGCAAACGAUUUAUAGUAAAUUUCAAUCAACAUCGAUUAUUUCCUUUUUUAGCUAGAAAUAUUUUUGUUAAUUCUACCUAAACAAUUUAUUACUAAUUUAUUGCUCAAAAAUGGUAAAUUGCUUACAGAUUAUAAUCUCAAUUAAUUCUCUUUCAUGCAGGGACUUUUUUUCACAAAUAAACAAACUUAUUCAUUUAAAUCACAGCCUUUUGCAUGACCAAAUUAUUUGAUCAAUUUUAUUUUUUUUACUUUGUUUAGAUUUUUAAGUAAAUAUUAAUAUGAAAAAGUUAUUUCAUAUUUAAAUUAUCACAUUAAUUAUAUGAAAGUUAUUAAUUGAUUAGCAGUCAAGCAACAUACAUGGUAAAAUAAUAUUGCAAUUAAGAGUCAUUUCUAUAUAAAAAUCUCUAUGUAAAAUAUUAUAUAUAUAUGUGAAUUCUAACUCCACAAUAUCAAUCUAUGAGAUUAUCUGAAGAAGAAAGCAUAGAAACAAGAACUCGCUCGACUAAGGAGGAUGUUUUAUUCAUCUCUUAGUGUAUUUCCACAGAAGAAAGAAAAAACCAUUGUUAUGUACACAUACGGUUCGAUAGAGAAUUAGUUUUGAACUUCUCAGUUAUUUUUCUUUGAACACUAUUCACUCACAUACUCACUAUCAUAUUCUAUAAUGAUUUAAUUAUUGUAAUAUAGUUUCUUCUGCAAUUUGUAAAAAAAAACAAAAACUGAUGCUAAUUGCUUGAGGAUGUGUCUUUGGUUUUUUAAUUUAUUUUUGAGUAGUUGAUGAUUUCUAGAUUAUGAACCCAACUAAUUUUAUUUUCUUAUUUAGUCUUGCUAUGUUUUUUUUUAUCUUCCAAUUAAUAGUUGUAUUCUCUUUCCUGUAUUUUUCAUUUCUUCGAUUUUGUUUACAUUUUUGAAAUUUUUAUUAUUGAUGUGAUUAUUCAUUAAACUUAAUUGAUACUGCUUUCUUUUUCUAUAUAGUUUUUAGAAGAAAUUAAUAUACAAAAACCUAACAGAAUUGCAAAUUAUUGAGUGUCAUUUUGAGAAAAGGUGAAUUUUCUACUUGAUUUUAAAUGAGGUUCUGAAUACGUGUGUAUGUGUGUGCGUGUGUAUAUAUUGGUGAACUAUUUAUAUAUACAUCUAUAUAUAUAAUAAAGUUGUAUAGUCUAACCUAAAUUUAAAUCAAGUGGCAUCUUGAGAACUAUUUUCUCAAAUUCUUACAAUAAAAAAUAAUCAUUUUAUAAGAAAAAACUAUUUUAUUGAUUAUUUAAAUAUUUAAUAUUAUUUCUUAUUUCAUAUUUUGGUAAAAAAAAAUAACUAAUAUUUAUUUCUAUUAGAUGGAAGCUAUUAUGAUUUGAUACUAUUUCAUUUAAUAUUAUUUCAUAUUGUGGUUAAAAAUAAUUAAAUUUUAUUUCUGUCGGAUGAAAACUAUUACGUUUGUUCAAUUAUUUCAUAUUAAGAUUAGUAGUUAAUUAUGUCGUAUUAUUUUGUGUUUUUAUUGAUUAUUAUUUAUUUAAUAUUAUCUCACAUUUCAUAUUGUGGUAAAAAUAAAUGAUUGUUCAAUUAUUUCAUAUAAAGAUUAGUAGUUAAUUAAUUUAUGCUUUGUCGAUUAUUUAUUAUUUAUUUCAUAGCUUUCGUAUGUUUAAAAAAAUUAUGUAAUAUUAGUUGUGCAAUUACUUGACAUAUAUGAAAAAACAUUGAUUAACUCAAUUUGACAGGGUAAUCAAUUACAAUUAAGAGAUAUAAUUGGAAAAAAAAUAUUUUAAUUGAGAUGAGAAACUUUUAGAUGGAAGGAUGUAAAAUUUUGAAUUCAAAUAAAACAAAAAUACGAAUUUAAUUGAAAGAUAGUUAAAUUAGAUAUUACUAUUAUAUUGAGACUAAUCCAACUAAUUAAACAAUCUUUGUAUGAAUUUCACUAAUUACAUUUUUGUAUAAUAGAAAAUAGUUAAUUGCCAAUCUUGAAACAAAUAUUAUCAAAUGGGGAAUAUGAUAAUAUAGAUGUCACCAAUAUCUGGUGCAGUGAAUGGGGUUGCUCCACCCUUAACCAGCGGUCGAGGGUUUGACCUGUGUAUGGAGAAAACUCUGUUGGGAGUGCUGCCACCUUAAUGGGCCCUGCAACGCGCGAUCCGAAUUAGUUGAGGCUCCAAUAACGGCACCGGACACCGGAUGAAAAAACAAAAAAAAAAUGCAGAUGUCAUCCCUUAAAAUAUACAAAUAAUAUAAAUAAUGAUAUUAAAAAAUUAUGAUUUCAUUACUACUGAGUAAAUCAAGAAAGUAUUACAAGAAAAAUUUGUGAAUUAAUAAUCAAUUAUCAAUCAAACAACUUAUAUGAAAAAAGUUUAAUUGACAUUUUUUAAAAAAAUAUUUCAACUUUAAUCACAAAUAAGUUUGACCUAUUUUUGUAAAACAAUAAAUGAAUAAAUAUAAGAAAAUCCGUAAUUAGGAAAGAAAAUAAGUGUUACCUUAUUUGAGUGACUAGAAAAUUAUAAAGAUAAUUAAAUAAUCAAUUGACUAUAGUCAAAUUAUAAUUUUAUAAGAAUUUUUUGAGAAAUAAAUCAGUAAUUGAGAAAAAAAUUAAUUGUUACCUUUUUAAAAUUCUUCCCCAAAUUAUAAAGGUAACUAAUAUCAAAUUAAUAUAAUAAAACUAUAAAACUAUGAGAAAUUUAUGGGAUUGAAUUUCCGAAAUUAUAAAAGUAACUAAUAUCAAUUGUUUCCGUUUUUGAGUCUUUUAUUUAAUUGUACAUUAAUUAAAUAUAAUCAAGAUAUAAAAUUAGGAUAGAUUUAUGGUAAGUAGAUAUUUAUAAUUUUAAAUAGUUUUAUUUUCAUCAAAUUAAUUAGAUGAAAUUGAUGUAAAAAUCAGUUUAUAUUGAGAAUUAUUUUAACAAAAAAUAUAUGCAAAGUUACGUAAUUGAUAUACAUAUAUUGGUAAAAACAACAACGAAUAUUGACUACUACUUUAGCCAUAAAUAUAUUUUGGAAUUUACAACAUUAAAUUUAAGGAACUUGAGUUUAUAUAUUAUGAUAAUAAAAUUGAUUCUUAUUAAUUAAAAUCAAUUAGUUGAUUGUGUAGUCAUAUUACAAUUAUGUCGUACUUUAUUUAUUUAAUGAAAAUACAUAUAAUUAAUUAACUUAUUUUAUGCAAUCUACUAUGAACUUAUUAAUUCAAAUGAAAUAAUUUUUAAAUGGUAAUUUAGGACUAUAAAAGAAAGGAGAUUAUUUUGUUGAAAUUUUAAAUUAAUAUGUAUUAAUCUAUUUUAGUGGGGUAUUAGUAUUCAACAAGAUCUCCACAUUUAAAUGGAGUAAUUGUAUGGAUUUAGCAUCUUUUAUGUAUCCAAAAAAAUAGAGACAGAAAAAUAUAAUGCCACAACAUUUUUGAAUUAUUUAAUUUAUUUAUCAUGUUUUAAAAUAUUGUUUAUAUCAAUUUAGUGAUGUUUAUAUGCAAAAGUUAAAUUUUGAAAAAAAAAAAUCUUAAGUUUUAUAAUUUAAGUUAAUUUGUGUACUAAUUUUAAAAAGUUAAUUUAUAAUUUACAUUCUAUUUUUAUUAUAUGAAAAAUUUGACCUUAUAUGGCUAUAUAUAUACUAUUUCAAUAACACAAAAAUAUUGUCACACUUUCCCCCCCCCUCUCUCUCUCUCUCUGUUAUUAUUAUUGAUCAUUAACCUUAUUGGUAUUUAUCAAGCUUUUCACUAUGAAUAUGUAGAAAUAAGAAUUGUCAAUACUUUGUUGAAUAUUAAUUCAAAUUUUUCUUCAUAAAUUCCAGGCUUUAAAUAUAAAGGUUUCAACAUAAUAAGAAUCACACAUAUUGAUAAAAUAUUAUCAAUAUUUCAGAAUGAGAGUUCAGCAGAAUAAUAUACAUAUAAGAAGGUUGAACAAUGUAAUCACAAUGUAACAUAGGUUUGAAACAAGAAAAUCAUUUGUUGAAAAUGAUUUGAAUUAUUCGUAGUGAUUUUUGUUUCUCGAGAAAAUUAAGUUUGUUAAUUUUUUAAUCUCUUUAUACAAAUAUAAAUUUAUACUAUUAAUAAUAUAAUUUCUUGAUUAUAUAUUAUUUUGAGGUCUUGCAUAAUUAUGGUAUAAAAAUGAUUGAUUUUUUUAUUUUAUUAAUCGUUAUUCAAUAUCAUAUUUUGGUAUAGUAAAAGAUCCUCAUAUUGAAAGACUGUUGUCACUAAUUAAUAAUGAGAUUCAAGAAGAAGAAACCUAUGAGAAGGUCACUAUAUAUUCAAAUAAUAUAGGUUUGAAACAAGAAAAUUAUUUGUUAAAAAUGAUUUUAAUUAUUCAUAGUAUUUUUCUUUCUUGAGAAAAAUAAGUUUGUUACCUUAGUGAUUUCUUUAUCCAAAUACAAAUUUUCUAAUAUAGUCUCACUAAAUAAUGAAUCUAUUAAUAAAAACAAAAAAACAUAUCAAUUUUUUUGACGCGAAUGAAAAAUAAAAAUUUCAAGAUCUUGCUUGAGAUUAUUAUGUGAUUUAUUAGUUUAAAAUUUUAAAUUUUUUAAAGAUAAAUUUUAUCUCUUUUUAUAUUUAGUAUUAUGAUCAUAUUUUGACUUAAAUGUGAAUGUUAUAAAUGGUAUAACUAGAACGAUACUAAUAUUUUUUCUUUAUACUUGGUCUCCUUUAAAUAUUCGUAUAUAGGUAAAUAUUUUUAACAAAUUCAAAUUGAUUUUAUCUACUUUUUUUCAUUUUAAAGUAAUUUAUUAUGAAUUAUUUGUUAUGAACAAUUCAAGAAACUAUAAUUGAUUGGAGAUUUUGACUUGCAUUUCAUUAGUUUAUGUUGGCUUAUUUAUUGGUCAAUAAAAUAUUUUAUUAUGCUUUACUAUAUGAUAAAUUUGUAAAUCUAAAUUAUUUUUUUAAUCUAUCUUUGUUUAAUGAUUACUUUUACUUAAAUAUUAUCCGCACAUCAUGCGUGUACUAAUACUAGUUGGGUUUAAAAACAUUGUCAUGUGAUUUCUUAAUUUGUUUCGUUUUCUUUUAAUCUUACAAAGCCAAAACAUUGAACGAGUUGCUUCAAUUUAUCCAAAUCAAAUUUUAAAAAUUUCUUGCUAAGAUUUUUUUUUUUAAUUCUUAGUAAUAUGACAAUAGAGUAUUAAAAAGCCUCAUUUAGUGAGAAUUAAUCAAAUUUGUUUUCUAGGUCCGCAAAAUAAAAAAGAUAAAAUGGUUCGGUGGACUCUUAUAUUAUAUCCGUUUUGUAAUGUGUACACUUCUACUUACAUGUUUGUCAUCUGAACUCUUGAAUCCACUAAAAAAUAAUAUUUCAAAUCCUUUGACCGCUGAUCAGACCUAUGUGGCAUUAAAAGGGCUGACUAGGACGAGGUGCGAGUAGGGCCAAUUUUUGAUCAAUUUUAUAUUAAAAUAAUUAAAAAAAAUUUAAAAUAAUAUUUAAAUUAAAAAAAGUCCUUUUUUCCCUCCAUCUUUUUAAAUUUAAAAAUAUGUUUAAAAUUUUAAAAAUAAUUUAAAAAUAUUUUUAAAAAGCAAAAAAUCAUUUUAAAAAUAUUUUAAAUUUUUUUUUUUAAAAAAAAAAAUCCAUCCCCACCCCACCNNNNNNNNNNNNNNNNNNNNNNNNNNNNNNNNNNNNNNNNNNNNNNNNNNNNNNNNNNNNNNNNNNNNNNNNNNNNNNNNNNNNNNNNNNNNNNNNNNNNNNNNNNNNNNNNNNNNNNNNNNNNNNAUCACCAUUAACACCCCCGCCCCCACCUUCAUAGCCCCAAGGAUCUCUAUUCGUCAUCAUUUUCUUCAUCAUCAUAUAUCACAAAUUAUCCAGAAAACAGUAAGAUGUCUUUGCUGUGGUUGAUUUGUUAUUGUUGUUCAUUGUCAAAAAAUAAAUAAAUUAUAUAUAUCCCUCAAGAGGGUCUUUGCUGUGGUUGAUAUUGUUGUUGUUGUUCAUUGUCAAAAAAAAAAAUAUUGUUGUUUUAAUUUUUUAAAUUUUUUUAUUCACUUUCUCAAUUUAAAAUUUUCAUUUUGUUUAGGAUUAAUUUUAUAACUUUUACAUAUUGUUAAACAUGUUUAAAUAAAAAUUGAAAAUUGAUUAUGUUUGAGUAUGUGAAUUUAUAGUUAAAAUUUUAAAUUAAUUGGAGAGAAAUUUCAAUUAUUGGAAAUAAAUUUGAUGUUUAGUUAAAUUUAUUGUGUUUGUGUAUUAGAAUUUAUAGUUGAAAAUUUAAAUUAAUUUAUAUUAUAAAAGGAAUUUAUUAAUAAAAGAAAUUUAUUUAAUUAAAUUUAUUUUAAUAUUUAAUUAAAAAUAACAUAAAAUUUAAUGUAAUACUUAAAAAUGAUGUGGCGGCUGAUGUGGCAGCUGACAUGGACAAUCAAAUUUAAUGUAAUACUCAAAAGUGACGUGGAAACUGACGUGACGCGGUUGUGUUACACACACCGUCAGAGGGGUUUAAAAUAUUAUUUUUUAAUGGGUUCAAGGGUCCAGAUGACAAAUAUGUAAGUAGGAGUAUCCACAUUACAAAACGGACACAGUACAAGGUCCACCGAACCAUUUUGCCAAUAAAAAAUAAAGUUCAAUUUUUUUAUUCAUAAGAUGAUUGGGACAAGUGCAUUGACAUCUGCUUAGAGGGUUGUCACCUAAUAUGUAAUCAGAAUAUAGAUUAUUUAAUACCAUUGAUCUCAAAAUCAACUAAAGUACGUGAGAUUAAAGAAAACAAUACAAGGAGUAGGAAAAGGGAGACAUAGAAGGGGGUUGCCCAUAUUAUGUACUAGAAAAUAAGAUGUAUUACUUCUCUCUUGUUGAAGCAGUCAUUAUAUCUCGAAAAGUAAGAAUAAUGACCAAGUCUUUACUGCCUCUAUUUCAUUUCAUUUGGUUCUCGUUGAUUUGAUACAUCUUUUAUAAAAUAUAUAUAUAUAGAUUCUAAUAUCAAAUUAAUUUUAUUAAUAAUAUUUUGUAACUCUUAAUAUAACUACAUAUUACUCUAUGUUGUUGGUUUUAUAUUCAACAACAACAGCAUAUCCCCAGUGUAAGUGUAUUCCCACAUAGUGAAGUUUGGGGAGGAUAAAGUGUGCGCAGACCAUACCACUACCUCAGGUGAAGUAGAGAGGCUGAUUUCGAUAGACUUCAGGCUUAAAACCGAUAAUAGUAUAACAAACACAAAAAAUAAGUGCAAAAUAACUAACACCGCUAGCAACAAGAUAAUACUACCACCACAAGAUAAAAAUAAGAACUAUCUAACCUAAAUCAUAGACAUCACACAACACCACGAAUAAAAAACUACAGACAUAAAAGAACGCUCCCUAAUUGUUACUGAUGAACUCCCACCCCCUAACCCUCUACCCUAAUUCGCGUCCUCUACACCUUUCUAUCAAAUAUCAUGUCCUCCGUAAGUCGUAACUGCUUCAUAUCAUGCCUAAUCACCUAUCUCUAAUAUUUCUUCGGUCUACCUCUACCCCGCCUAAAACCAUCCCUAACUAGUAUCUCACACCUCCGCACUGGAGCAUCCGAGCCCCUCCUCAUCGCGUACCCGAACCAACGUAACCUCACUUCUCGCAUCUAAUCCUCCACUGACGCAACUCCCACCUUCUCCCGAAUAAUCUCAUUCCUCACCCUAUUUUUCCUGAUAUGUCCACACAUCCAUCGCAAUAUUCGCAUCUUAAGAGUUGAAAAAAAUAUAAUAAAUUUUCUUAAUUUAUAAAUUAAAUAAAUAAUUUAAAGUAACUAUUUUUAAUAUAUAUAUCAAGUAAAAUGAAAUGAAAAAGUAUGAUCUUUAAUUUUAGUAGAGAAUAGAUGGAACAGAAGCAAAAGAUAUUGAGGUCAAUUAGAAGGUAAAAAGUUUGUUCUUGCCAGAUAUUUGCAACAAGCUACUCUCUCUGUUUCUUUAUUUAAAGUGUUCCUUUUAAAUUGUAGUAAUUUUAGUUUUAAAUAAGUAUAUAUUUAAAUCCUUAAGAAUAAAUUUUUGAAAGAAAGACGCAAAAAUAUAUUGAUUAUAGUCUUCUUAAUAUGUCUUUGAGUUUAAAUAUAAUAAUUAAUGUCAACUUGAAAAAAGAUAAUAGCAUUUAAUUAGGAAUAAGUUAAUAACAUUUAAUUUUUUAGAAGUGAGUGGUUUAUUUAAAGGUGUAUCCAAGUCAAAAGGAGUAUUUACUUAGAAAUUAAAGGAGUAAGGCAAAAUGUUCUUUUGAACCCCUGUACUAUGUCAGUUUUGUAAGUUGGACACUUCUACUUACAUGUUUGUCAUCUGAAUUCCUGAACCCAUUAAAAACAACUUUUUAAACCCUUUGUCGGUCUACUCAGCUGUGCGUGUUGCACAAUCGCGGUCACGUCAUUAAUUUUGUAUAAAAUAAUUUUCACGUAUGAAAUGACGUGUGUAGAGUAUAACUAGUAAAAUUUGACCUAAAAUUUAGGUCAUUUUAAGCCUUCUUCUCCGCCUCUCCUCUCUCUCUCUCUCUUAUCCGAAACUGAAAAUUAACACGAUUUUAGGGUAAUUUAGGCCGAUAGUUGUUGAAGCUUCUUGCAAUCCUUAUAAGUAUUUAACAUUUUGGUGUAGUUGUAGUAUGUGGUUGUUUAUUCUGAAGCUAAUUGUAGUCGAUUAAAUGGUGAUCCGUUCUACUGAUUUUAGGAUUUUCGAGAUUACAAACUUUUUUCUGUAUUUUUUUGUGUGAUUUUGUUCUUUUCCGUCUGUAGUGUUGUUGUAGGUAGUAUUUGUAGUGAUGAUAUGCCCUCAAUGACAUAUAUCUGGUUUUAAGGUAGAAUUUUGGGUUUUCGAGUUUUUCGUAAACUAAAAAAUUGAGAUCGAAAAUUUAGGGCUUUUGGUUUGUUUGUAGUCUAAUUCUCGUAUUAUGGCUAUAUAUUGCAGUUUUUAUGCCUUCAAUGGCAUUUUUUGUUAUUUCGAUUAAAUUUUAGGGUUUUUUUGAUCAAUUCAGAAUUGGGUCCAAAAAUUUUGGGGCUUUUGAUUUUUUUGUUGUUUAAUGCUCCUAUUAAACGUGUGUAUAAUCAUUUUGUGCCUUCAAUGGCAUGUUUUGUUAUUUUAAUUACACUUUAGGUUUUUUUUUGGGUAAAAUCAGAAUUGAUGUUUUUAUUCCUUAGUUUUUUCUUUAAAAAUUAGGACUUUGUGGAUAAUUGCUGUAGACACCUAAUUUCGUCCCUCCCCGAUGUCGUUUUUACCCAUUUUAUUUUUACCCUACCGUGUACCAUCACCCAUGUUAUUAUAACCCUACAAAAUACAAGAAAAAUAUUACAAAAUCCCUAACAAAACCUAUCCUAACUAAUUCUAUCUUAUCCUAACAACCUACCCAAUCAAAAUAAAACACAUCACACCUACCCCCUACCCCACGUGAUCCCACCUACCCUACCUCACCACUACCCACCCUCACAAUAUAUACACACAUACUCUCACAAAAAAGAGGAAGGCAGGGAUCAGUAACCAAAAGAAAAAAAAGCAGAGGAACCAUCUUCUCCUUCAGGAACUCACGCACAAUUUAAAAAAAAAAAAAACAAAUACAUACACCAUCGAGAAACCACCAUUAAAGCACACACAGACCUCACGAUUCACACACGCACACACUUGCUCUAGCUGGAAAACACUUGCACGCACACACUCAGUAAGGAGAAAUGAAAAAUGGAGGGCGUUUGACGGAAUCCGGCGAAGGAAUAGGGAAAGCGGCGAGAAAUCAAGCUUCUGUUCAAGCUUUUUCCGACGACUUAAGUGCCGGACUCAGUUUCAGCGCCAGUUGUUUGAAUCAGUUUCAUAAUCGCCCAAAUCUCUUUAUUUUCCUUCGAUUUUCUGGACGAGAUCUAGCCGGAAUCCGACCGUUUUAGUUGUUUUUGGUCACUGCUAGCUCACUGGAGGUCCAUUUAUAUAGGAUUUUUCAGUUCUUUGCUGGAUUUAGAGCGCUUUGGGUUCGUUUACUUCGUGAUUCGUUCUUCGAUAUCGUGCUUCAGGGGGUUUUCCGCAAUUGGUUGGGUUCAAUAUUCGUGAGUUGGAGCUCCAUUCGUGGUGGGGGUUCCUUGUUCGAGAAUUUCGGAUUUGGAUUUCUUAUAGACUAAAACAAGUUCUAUUGAGGCGGAGUGAUCGUUUGAACUUGGUUCCAGUGAAAUCGCUUAUGAGUUUUCGUUAUUACAACAUUUGGUCUGAUGUGGGGAUUAAACCGAGUUCGUUAUUGAGGUGUGAUUCGAGGUUCAAAUCGAGAGUUUUUGGAUCCGACUUUGUCUUUUGAUCACAUAUUUUGGCACAAUAAAAGCUUCAAUCGAGGUCCAAUUCUACUCUUUUUCACUUCUAUUUUAUUGUUUACUACGCUUUUGGUGUUUGGAUUAAGCUUCGGGUGUUGUUUGAUACUUGUUGGUGAUGCAUGUAUGUUGUCCGGUUUGGUGAUAGUUUGUUAUUUUGAUAUUGACUCGUUGUUUAUUUUCGUUGAAAAGUGAUUGUGGGUCGCUGAAAUAGAAAUGGUGAGUUGUGAAAAUUUAGUAUUAAAAUGAAAUUUAGGGACGGGAAUCGAAAAUUGAUAAAAGUGAAUAUUAUGAUAUUUUUGAUACAUUGUUGAUGUUGAAUGCGAUAUGUCGUCGAGUGGGUAGGCAAACAGCAAGCUCGGGUAGGCAAGUUUAGGAUUGGUGUAGUGUUGGAAUGAUUGGAAUAUUUGUUGAAUGUCUUGUUUAUCGUAUUUGGAAAGUGUAUUUAUUUAACCGGGGAAUGCCCCGAGGUAAUUUGUAUUUACCCACCGGGGAAUGCCCCGAAGAAUUUUGUACGUUAAGGAUGUUCGUGAUCAAGGCCCGAGGCGUCGGGUAAAGCAUAGGAGUAGUUUAGGAUUAGCUUAGAAUAGAAUAUUUCACAUUUUUUUUAUUUUUUUUAUUUUUCAGGACUGUAUAAUUGGACUGAACAUUAUAUUUUGGAUUAUUUGGUUUUGUUUGCUUGAGUGAUUGUUUUUGGGUGCUUUGUGUGGUUUAUGCAUUUGUAAUGUCAAUUUAGCCGAUACGCUCUGCCAAGCNNNNNNNNNNNNNNNNNNNNNNNNNNNNNNNNNNNNNNNNNNNNNNNNNNNNNNNNNNNNNNNNNNNNNNNNNNNNNNNNNNNNNNNNNNNNNNNNNNNNNNNNNNNNNNNNNNNNNNNNNNNNNNNNNNNNNNNNNNNNNNNNNNNNNNNNNNNNNNNNNNNNNNNNNNNNNNNNNNNNNNNNNNNNNNNNNNNNNNNNNNNNNNNNNNNNNNNNNNNNNNNNNNNNNNNNNNNNNNNNNNNNNNNNNNNNNNNNNNNNNNNNNNNNNNNNNNNNNNNNNNNGCCUUCUUUCUGCAACAAGUCCGUAGUACACGUGUUGUACACAACCUCUAGUUGAGUCACCCUUAUUCUAGGGGGGAGCCGUCGGUGUUAUGGAGUAGGUGGAAAGCAAAGCAGCCACUAUCGACCAUACGCUCCCCCGAACAGCCUUGUUAGUGAACCACAACGUAGGUCAGCCUUUAGGCCAUGCUUAUGUGCAUCAUAUUAAGACCUAGUGGGGCCCACUUGGUCCUUUGUAGGAGACUUACCUCUAAAGCAUCCCUACAUGCUAACUGCUGCAUUUUUAAGGAUAACGUGGUCAUUUGACGGACUGAUUUUUGAAAAAAAAAAUUGUUAGGAGUAAGGUGCGUAGGCAAAAACGAAAAAGAAAAAAAUAUAAAAAAAAGUGAGUCGAAAAGAAUGAAAAAAAAGGAAUGUCGUAGUUUAUUUUAGAAUUCUUUAUGGCUUUUGUUCUUCACAAUCCAAAAACUCAAAAAGAUUUUUUUUUACGUUUUGCAUUUGUCUUCUCAAAAUACCAUAAAAAAAAAGUUUUGUUUACCUUUUCAACUUCUUUGUCAAAAAAAAUAAAAAAAUACCAAAAAGAUUUUUUCCUUCAUAAUUGGUGGUGUCAGUCUUAGCUGAAAAUCCAAAAGUUUUUUUUCGUUUGUUUUUGGUAGUGUCUCCUAAGUUAGGUCAAUUUAUUAGUUAAUCGUUAAUUGUCCAAUCUGGACAAAUUACGCACCCCUGAUUCUCCUCUUUCGAGAGUGAGAUACGUAGGCAGCCUAUUGUUGGUUCGGGGAUCUUAUUUAAAAAAUCCAAAAAAAAAUAAAAAAAUUCUUCACUUUUCAUCUAGAUUAGGUGUUUCAUACAUGUCUUGAAAAUAAAAAUACAAAAUAAUAAUAAUAAUAAUAAUAAUAAUAAAAAUCCUUAAUAGUCGUAGGUUUUAUUUUUGGUUGAUCUUAUUCCAAAAAAAAAAAAUUCAAAAAAAAAAAUUUUUCUUCACUUUUUAUUUAGAGUAGGUGUUUCAUAAACAUCUUCAAGAGAAAACUACAAAAAGAUUUUCCUUUAAUAGUUUCAAGUUUCAUUUUCAUAUGAAAUUCAAAAUUGAAAACCCCAAAAGAUUUUUCUUUGGUAAUCAUAGGUUUCAUUUUGUAUAGGAAUUUUAAACGUGAAAAUGCAAAAAAGAGUCUAGUCUUUUGACAAUUUGUUAUGUUCUUCUCUUUUUAAAGUUUCAAGUAAAGAAAAAAGAAAGGAAAUUUAAUUGACCAUUUUGGCAAGACUGCCCGAACUAUGCAAGAUCUGAUUCAUGUACAACAUGAUACGUAGGCAACCUACUUUUGGGUUCGAUCUAAUCAUUUUAUUUCGUUGUUUUUCAUUAUUUUUUCUCUUUUAAGGAAAAAUAAAAAGACAUAAAGAAUGAUAAAAUAAAGGUAGAUAACGAGAGAAAAGAAAAGAACAGAGAUGGAUCCGAAAAUAAUAAUAAUAAUAAUAAUAAGUGUAGAAAAAAAAAGUAUAGACAAAAAUCAGGAUGAUGUUAAAAUGACCUCGCUACCCUCAAAAGCUGGUAGAAAUGAACAUGAAUUUAAGACAAUUUACCAAUGUGAUUCCCAUGAUUGUUGUGUGCCCUAAUCCUAAUGGAUGUCGUCUUUGAUGAGCAUAUUCUUUCAGAUAACAGUGGUAGGUUUGCAACACUCUGGCUAGUCACCCAUAUUUCACUAGAUCCAAAGCAAAACUCGUCAUGGCUAGCAGGGAGAUUGAAAAUUCACUCAUUGACCCAGAUCAGGAUCACAGGGAAGAAAGCUCUGAACACAAUGAUGAGGUAGUAAGGCUCAGGCAGCAAUUGAUUGAUUUACACCGGGCAUGGGCCAGUGGAUUGCCUCCUCCUCCGCUCCUUGAAGGUCUUGAAAAUAUCUCUAAUUGCCCACCGCUCUCUCAGGCGCAAUUCUCUGCUCCUACUGAGUCACCUGAGCACGCGCCAGGAUUCACUCCGCGACAUUAUUAUCCUGGCAGUUCUGGUGUGCCCUUGGCAGCUCCCCAAUCAAGACCAGCUGCUCAGCCAGCGCCACCAAUCACACCGGUAUUCGUGGCUCCGCCACCACAUGAAACUCUCAUAUAUGUUGUGCGUCCUACAAUGGAGGUUCCCAGGUCUGCCAGUGAGCCAGUACUGAAGGUUUCAGAUAGUCAGUAUUAUGCCCAGGAGCCUACUUUGCAAAUGAAUGAACCGUAUGGGUACACUCAACCGCCUGCAUUUCUAUUGGAUACUGAGAAACCUGUCGCAACAGAGGAACAGGAUAUCAUAGCCCAGAAAUUGAAAAGUUUAGAACAGACUAUGAGGAAUUUGCAAGGAAUCGGAGAUUAUAAGAGUGUUUCCUAUAAAUAUCUUUGCAUGUUCCCAGACAUCAACCUCCCCCUUGGUUUUAAGAUGCCUAAGUUAGAGAAGUAUGCAGGACACGGUGAUCCCGUGGCACACUUAAGACGUUAUUACAACCAGUUGAGGGCUGUAGGAGGAAAGAAAGAACUGCGCAUGGCCUUCUUUGGUGAGAGUCUUUCUGAUCUGGCAUCAGAAUGAUUUAUUGAUCGAGAUAUCGAUAAAUGGAACAACUGGGAUAAUUUGGCUUCUGAAUUUGUUCAACAUUUUCAGUAUAAUAUCGACCUGAUUUCGGACGAAAAAUCCUUGGUCAACAUUAAGAAAAAGAGCACUGAAGGUUUUAAGGAAUACGCGAUAAGGUGGCGUGAACAGGCCGCCAGGGUAAACCUCCAAUGAAAGAAAGUAAGUUGGUAGAAGUUUUCAUUCAGGCGCAGGAUGAGACCUAUUUUCAGCAUUUACUUGGCAAUGGGAAAAUCUUUUAUGGAAGUCCUCAAAAGGGGGGAGAUGAUAAAGGACGGAAUUAAGACCGUCCGAAUAGUGAGUUUUGCCGCAUUAAAAGCCACCGCACAAGCGAUUCAAGGUGGAUCUGGCGCAUUUGGAGGUUGAAAGAAGAAAGAGGACGUGGCGACCGUUGUAGCUGGAACCCGUUCCUAUCCUAAAAGACCACCUCGCCCCUAUCCCCAAUCCUAAGCCCAAGUCUACGCCCAAGCUCCAUAUAUUCCUCCCUACCAUUACUACCCUUCACAAAACCCUUUAUAUUUCAUUCCACCACCCCUGUACCCAGUAUAUAGCGUGCAGCCAUAUGCCCAAACCCCUUCUUACCCGCAGUGGUGCGUGCAAGCUCCACAAAAUCGCCCAUUCGCUCCACCAAAUUCCCAAAACCCCUCCAGACCCGGUCUUUAGCCUAGGCCCGAGUAUAAGAAGGAGAAGGCGGUCAAAAAUCAAUUCACACCUCUUGGGGAGUCAUAUGCUAGUUUGUUUGAUAGGUUGAGAAGGUUGAAGGUUUUGAGCCCAAUUCAAGGAAGGCUUUCAAAUCCACCGCCAAGGAAUCUCGAUUAUUCUUUAAGGUGUGCGUACUACUCUGAUAUGCCAGGCCAUAAUAUCGAGAAAUGCUGGCAUUUAAAGAGAGCUGUCCAAGAUUUAAUUGACANNNNNNNNNNNNNNNNNNNNNNNNNNNNNNNNNNNNNNNNNNNNNNNNNNNNNNNNNNNNNNNNNNNNNNNNNNNNNNNNNNNNNNNNNNNNNNNNNNNNNNNNNNNNNNNNNNNNNNNNNNNNNNNNNNNNNNNNNNNNNNNNNNNNNNNNNNNNNNNNNNNNNNNNNNNNNNNNNNNNNNNNNNNNNNNNNNNNNNNNNNNNNNNNNNNNNNNNNNNNNNNNNNNNNNNNNNNNNNNNNNNNNNNNNNNNNNNNNNNNNNNNNNNNNNNNNNNNNNNNNNNNNNNNNNNNNNNNNNNNNNNNNNNNNNNNNNNNNNNNNNNNNNNNNNNNNNNNNNNNNNNNNNNNNNNNNNNNNNNNNNNNNNNNNNNNNNNNNNNNNNNNNNNNNNNNNNNNNNNGAAUGAGAGAAGAUAAAGCCCAAGAAAGCACAAAGAAACCCCUAAUCACAGUACAAGGCGCCAGAAGGUAUGUUGAUUUAAGUCAGGAUAAACCUAAGUUGACAGUGGUGGGAGCUCUGAGUCAGCCUAUCUUGACGGUGAAAGGAGCGCUGGCAGCACCUAUUGUCCUCAAACCGGUGACCCAACCUCCGACAGUUGAUACAAAAAGAGUUCCCUGGAAUUAUGGGCGAACUGUGAUGACCUAUCACGGGAAAGAAGUUGUGGAAGAUGUAGAUGAGGUAAGGGGUUUGACUAGGUCAGGAAGAUGCUUCGUGCCUGAAAGCUUAAGAAAGUCCUAGCCAACGGUGAGUGGACCAUCAUCUAUCAAAAAGCCUAUCACCGAAGAAGAAGCCGAAGAAUUUUUGAAAAAGAUGAAAUUGCCAGAGUAUUCAAUAUUAGAUCAGUUGAAGAAAACUCCUGCUCAAAUUUCCCUUUUAUCUUCCUCACUUGUUUUUUACUUUCUUUUUUAUGAAAUGCACCUUUCUUCAUUUACAAACACUUAUGUGAUAAUAUUCCUAACAAAGAUUCCGUUUGACUUGACCGUAGGACAUCACCUUCCUCAAUGCAAUGGAAAAUAGGAGCACGGAAGCGAUGAAAGCACACUCCAAAGAGCACCGUGAUGUUUUACUGAAGGUAUUAAAUGAAUCAUAUGUUCCAAGGGAGAUUACAGUCAACCAAUUUGAGAAAGUGAUUGGAAAAAUCUUUGAGGUCAAUCGGAUCAGCUUUUCUGACAAUGAAUUGCCUGUUGAAGGUACAGGGCAUAACCGGGGCCUUUACAUUACAGUGAAGUGUGAAGAUUUCUACGUCACUCAUGUUAUGAUUUAUGGAGGUUCAGGUGCAAAUAUUUGCCCUAUUUCUACUUUGCAAAAGUUGAAUAUUGGUGCUGACAGGAUCAGGCCCAACAAUGUAUGUGUUAGGGCUUUCGAUGGUGCAAAAUCAAAUUCCAUUGGCGAAACAGAACUAAUGUUGACCAUAGGGCCUGUUGAGUUUGCCAUAGAGUUUCAAGUAUUGAAUGUAGAUUCCUCUUACAAUCUGUUGUUGGGAAGACCCUGGAUCCACAAGGCCAAGGCGGUUGCAUCUACACUGCACCAAAUGAUUAAGUUUGAGCAUGACAAGCAAGAAGUAGUUGUUCAUAGUGAAGGAGAUUUGUCAGCUUACGAAUAUUCUCCCUUGUCUCUUAUUAAAGCAAUUAACGUAGAGGAGACAUUCAUCUAUUAAAUUUUUGAUACAGUGCCAGUGAAUCGUAUCCUUGAAUGACAGGCUAUACCGGGACCGCAAUUGUCUUCUACUUCUAUCAUGAUGGUGAGUGAACUUUGGAAAUAUGGAUUUGAGCCAGGAAAGAGUUUGGGAGCAUUUCUGUAUGGUAUAGUUCAUCCCAUAUGUCCGAGUGAGAAUGUGGGCACGUUUGGUCUAGGAUUUAAGCCUACAGCUGAAGAUUUGAAGAAAGCCAAGGGAAGGAAAAAGGAAAUAUGGUCACUCCCUCGCCCGAUGCCACUACUCAGUGAAUCAUUUGUUAAGAGCGGUGUCACAAAGCAUAUGGAAUUUGAGGUUGAAUUGGUUUAUGACUUUCAGAACCUUUGUAUUGAAGUUGAUAUGCUCGAAGCAGGAGAAGGUACCAGUAUGGAAGACGCGCAAUUCAUAGGUCCAGUUGUCCGGCUCAAUAAUUGGGAAGUCACUCCUCUCCCCGUCAGGAGGGAGUUUUAAUAGUUUAUUUUGUUUUUCUUUCUGUUUAUCCGAGUUAUUUCAGGGUUGUAAUUUGGAUUUUAGUUUGUUUAUGAUAUGUUGGCAUCUAUGUUUAAUCCCUUCUAUCUUUUAUUUAAUGAAAUGCAAUGUCCCUUUUAUUUCGUGUCUAAUAUAUUUUGUUUUUCUUUUCUUACACAGUUCUCUUUAUGCUGAUUCUAAUGACAUGACAUGCAUGCGGAAUUUUUAGCCUGAUCUUAAAAUUCAAACUAAUCAAUAUGUAAUGAAGCAGGAUGGGGAAUAUGAUGAAGAAAAGGCACUAGAAGAAAUAAGCAAAGAGUUGGAACAGUUUGAAGACAAACCAAAUCCUAAUUUGAAUGAGACUGAGCCAAUAAAUCUAGGGGAUCAAGAAGAUGUUAGGGAAACUAAAAUCAGUGUACAUGCUUUGCCACAGCUAAAAGAUGAAAUGAUUCAAGCAUUAAUGGAUUAUAAGGACAUUUUUGCAUGGUCUUAUGAUGAAAUGCCUGGUUUAAGCACUGAAUUAGUGGCUCAUAAAUUGCCAACUGAUCCUACGUUCCCUCCUAUCAAACAGAAGUUGAGAAAGUUUAAAACAGAUGUAAGCAUUAAAAUUAAAGAAGAAAUCAUGAAACAACUUGAAGCUAAAGUAAUUCGAGUGGCUCGUUAUCCCAUGUGGUUAUCCAAUGUUGUCCCCGUACCAAAGAAAGAUGGCAAAAUUCAAGUGUGUGUUGAUUACCGUGAUUUGAACAGAGCAAGUCCGAAAGAUGAUUUUCCAUUGCCCAACAUCCACAUUUUGUUAGACAACUGUUCUAAACACGAGGUUGCCUCUUUUGUUGAUUGCUAUGUCGGAUAUCACCAGAUCAUUAUGGAUGAUGAAGACGCGGAGAAGACAUCUUUUAUCACACCAUGAGAAACUUAUUGUUAUCGAGUGAUGCCGUUCGAUUUGAAGAGUGCUAGAGCAACAUACAUGAGAGCCAUGCUAUGUUUCAUGAUAUGAUGCAUAAGGAGAUUGAGGUCUAUAUGGAUGAUGUGAUCAUUAAGUCAAAAAGUCAGGCCGACCAUGUUAAAGAUUUAAGAAAGUUCUUUGAAAGGCUUCGCANNNNNNNNNNNNNNNNNNNNNNNNNNNNNNNNNNNNNNNNNNNNNNNNNNNNNNNNNNNNNNNNNNNNNNNNNNNNNNNNNNNNNNNNNNNNNNNNNNNNNNNNNNNNNNNNNNNNNNNNNNNCCCCCGCUCAAGAAUAGAACGGAGGUGAUGAGUUUGCUUGGUAGACUGAACUACAUUAGUAGGUUUAUUGCUCAACUCACAACCACUUGUGAGCCCAUAUUCAAGUUGCUGAAAAAGAGUGCUGCGGUAAAAUGAACUGAAGAAUGUCAUGAAGCAUUCGAUCGAAUCAAAAGAUAUUUGUCAAAUCCGCCCGUGUUGGUACCCUCGAAGCCUGGUAGACCUUUGAUCUUAUAUUUAUCAGUCAUGGACAAUUCUUUCGGUUGUGUCUUGGGUCAACAUGAUGUUACAGGCAAAAAAAGAGCAGGCUAUUUAUUAUCUUAGCAAGAAGUUCACCGCAUAUGAGGCCAGGUAUACUCUUCUUGAAAGGACGUGUUGUUCCCUAACUUGGGCAGCACAGAAGUUGAAGCAUUAUCUCUCAUCCUAUACUACUUAUCUCAUCUCUCCUAUGGAUCCUUUGAAGUAUAUCUUUCAGAAGCCUAUGCCAACGGGUCGAUUGGCAAAGCAACAAAUAUUGCGUACCGAGUUCGACAUUGUAUAUGUGACUCUAACCGCCAUGAAAGCCCAAGCCUUGGCAGAUCAUCUUGAUGAGAAUCCUAUCGAUGAAGAGUACGAACCAUUAAAGACAUAUUUUCCUGACAAAGAAGUGUCGUGUGUCGAUGAAGUCGUUAUAAAUGCUGAUCCAGGUUAGAGGUUAUUCUUCGAUGGAGCUGUCAAUAUGAAAGGAGUAGGAAUAGGUGCGGUUCUUAUCUCUGAAUCGGGACAACAUUUCUCGGUAACGGCACAACUUCGAUUCUACUGUACUAAUAAUAUGGCAGAGUAUGAAGCCUGCAUUCUUAGUUUGAGGUUAGCUGUUGAUAUGGGAGUCAAAGAAUUAUUGGUGUUGGGAGAUUUGGAUUUGUUCGUCUAUCAAAUUCAAGGUGAUUGGGAGACACGAGAUUUGAAGCUCAUCCCAUAUCGACAUUGCUUACAGGAGCUAUGUCAGUGGUUUGUGUUAGUAAAAUUUAGGCAUAUUCCAAGGAUUCGUAAUGAAAUUGCUGAUGCUUUAGCCGCUCUGUCUUCAAUGCUCCAACAUCCUGACAAAGCCUACAUCGAUCCAGUGCAUAUACAAAGUCGUUAUCAACAUGCUUACUGUAAUGUGGUUGAAGAAGAGCUCGAUGGAGAACCUUGGUUCUUGGAUAUGAAGCGGUAUAUUCAGUCAGGAGAAUACCCAUCAUAUGCCACCAACGAUAAAAAGAGGACUAUUAGGCAUUUGGCUAGUGGAUUUUUCUUAAGUGGGGGAAUCUUGUAUAAGAGGACCCCAGAUCUGGGACUUUUAAGGUGUCUAGAUGUAAAAGAAGCCUCAGCAAUCAUGGUUGAAAUACACUCUGGAGUAUGCGGGUCGCAUAUGAAUGGUCAUGUCAUAUCAAAGAAGAUUCUUCGAGCAGGUUUUUACUGGCUUACUAUGGAAAGGGAUUCUAUUCAAUUUGUUCGGAACUGUCAUCAAUGUCAGGUACACGGUGAUCUGAUACGUUCUCCUCUUAUUGAGUUGCAUGCAAUGGCCUCUCCAUAGCCGUUCGUGGCUUGGGGAAUGGAUGUGAUUGGACCGAUUNNNNNNNNNNNNNNNNNNNNNNNNNNNNNNNNNNNNNNNNNNNNNNNNNNNNNNNNNNNNNNNNNNNNNNNNNNNNNNNNNNNNNNNNNNNNNNNNNNNNNNNNNNNNNNNNNNNNNNNNNNNNNNNNNNNNNNNNNNNNNNNNNNNNNNNNNNNNNNNNNNNNNNNNNNNNNNNNNNNNNNNNNNNNNNNNNNNNNNNNNNNNNNNNNNNNNNNNNNNNNNNNNNNNNNNNNNNNNNNNNNNNNNNNNNNNNNNNNNNNNNNNNNNNNNNNNNNNNNNNNNNNNNNNNNNNNNNNNNNNNNNNNNNNNNNNNNNNNNNNNNNNNNNNNNNNNNNNNNNNNNNNNNNNNNNNNNNNNNNNNNNNNNNNNNNNNNNNNNNNNNNNNNNNNNNNNNNNNNNNNNNNNNNNNNNNNNNNNNNNNNNNNNNNNNNNNNNNNNNNNAGGAAUUUUGAAGUUGGUCAGUUGGUAUUGAGACGUAUCCUUCCUCACCAGGUUGAAGCGAAAGGCAAGUUCUCCCCUAACUGGCAAGGUCCCUUCGUUGUGAAGAAAGUGUUGCCCAAUGGAGCCUUAUAUUUGACAGAUAUUGAAGGCAAAAUGGCAGAAAUGGCUAUCAAUGCUGAUGCAGUCAAAAGAUAUUAUGUAUGAUAUUUGAUCCUUUGUUGAUUUAAUUGCAUGUUUAGUACUUGCAUUUUUGAAGAUUGACAUGAUGAAGGCAUUUUAUUCUUCUAUCCAAACAUGGUGUCAUUCUUUGUUUACCCAUUUGAGCUUCGUUUUAUUUUUCUUUCAUAUCCCUCUUUUGAAUCAAAAUAGAGUCAAAGAUAAAUGUCAAGAAAAUAAGAAUCAAAGAAAGAGUUCGAAAAUAAAAUUAAAAAAAAUCAAAAUCGAAAAAUCAAAAUCAAAAUUAAAUCAAAACAAAGAACAAGCUGAUGGAACUACGUCCGACCUGAUUCUUCUCUCUCGGGAGUGAGCUACGUAGGCUGCCCUAUUUUGGGCUCGGUCCAACCAAAUAAAGAUCUAAGAUUCACCCAGUCAACAAAACUGGGGCAUGAGUUAAUGUGUUGUUUGAGUCGAUUCCAAAAGUUGUAAGUCCCACCCCCACUUCAAGUAUCGUUUGAGCCCUUUACCAUCCUUUUCUAACCUUAACCAAAAGCCAAGUUACAACCAAAGAAAGUCCUUCAGAUUAAUUUUUGAUAAUGUUAAGGCUAAGCAUUCAAUGGAUAUGAUGAUACAUUGUGAGGUACCACUUGUCUCCCUCAGUAUAAAAAAAAAAUAAAAAAUACAAAGAUGAGAGAGUCUUAUUGGUGAAAACCCCCGUGGGCAUCAUAAGGCGAUGGUGAGUCGAGAGAAAUGAAAAUGAGAGAGUCUUAUUGGUGAAAACCUUUGCAGGCACCAUAAGGUGAUGGUGAGUGGAGAGAAAUAUAAAUGAGAGAGUCUUAUUGGUGAAAACCCUCACGGGCACCGUAAGGCGAUGGAGAGUUCAAAGAGAAAAGUGAAAAGUGAAAAGAAAGAGAUUUGUUGGCAAAACUCAUUUAAGAUGUCGUCAAUCGAAUGUGAUGUAUGAGUCCAAUGGAUUUGAAGAAGCGGCUCAGCGACAAAAGGUACAAACUCAACAACAAAUGGGGAGUCUGUAUAGGAAGAUCAGGCAGCUCAAUCCAAAAUGCAUGUCAUACUCAUUGUAGUUGGUUGUCGUAUUCAGAUAAGUUUUCUUUUUGAAUAUGGGACAUUGCCCUCUUUCUUUCAUUUACAUAUUCAUGCUUUUUGUAUUUUUAGGUCAUUUAUCAAAAUAAAGUCACCAUCAUUUCUUUAUAUUUUAAGUCAAGUCUAUGUCAAAACAAGCGAGAAAGAAUUUCAAAAUUUACUACCAGUCUUUCCAAUUAUCCGAGGAAAAGCCAAGGAACAACACAGGAAAGAAAUAUGAUCGUAAUUCAACACAAAAAAAGGAAGUCUAUCAACCCACAGGCUAUUGGAUUCGUGGAAGCAUUCAGAUUUGGGAAAAGAGUGCACCUCAGGGGCAUGGUAAAAUGGAAGCUCAUUGUUCGAGUCGGAAAUCACUUCCCUCAUUAUAGAUCCGGGUCAAUGAUGCGGCAAGACAGGAUAAGUGUUAGCGAUUUGGAACAAAGAUGAAAGGAACGGGUGCUGGGCAUAUACCUGAAAAGCCAAGAUCUUCAAGCCACCACUAAGUUUUUAACUGACAAAUUUUCUUUGUUGAAACAGGGGCAAAUUCGUUUCACUUGAUUCAGCUACCAUUGGAAAUGCACAUCCGUGAGACUUUACUUUCUGUUCAGGACCCUCCUGAAAAAUGAGAUUUUACUUUCUGUUAAGGACCCUUCUGAAAAAAUGGGAUUUUACUUUCUGUUGAGGACCCUCCUGAAAAAAUGGGAUUUUACUUUCUGUUCAGGACCCCCCUGAAAAAUGGGAUUUUACUUUAAUAUUCAGGACCCUCCUGAAAAAUGGGAUUUUACUUUCUGUUCAGGACCCUCCUGAAAAAAUAGGAUUUUACUUUCUGUUCAGGACCCUCCUGACAAAUGAGAUUUUACUUUCUGUUCAGGACCCUCCUACAAAAUGGUAUUUUACUUUCUGUUCAGGACCCUCCUGAAAAUGGGAUUUUACUUUAAUGUUCAGGACCCUCCUGGAAAAUAGGAUUUUACUUUAUGCUCAGGACCCUCCUGAAAAUGGGAUUUUACUUUCUGUUCAAGACCCUCCUGAAAAAUGGAAUUUUGCUUUCUGUUUAGGACCCUCCUGAAAAAUGGGAUUUUACUUUAUGCUCAGGACCCUCCUGAAAAAUGAGAUUUUGCUUUAUGUUCAGGACCCUCCUGAAAAAUGGGAUUUUACAGCCAAUUCAGGAUCCUCCUGAAAAAUAGGAAUUUACUUCAUGCUCAAGACCCUCUUGAAAAACAGGAAUUUACUUGCAAUUCAGGACCCUCCAGAAAAAUGAGAUUUUACUUUAUGUUCAGGACCCUCCUGGAAAAUGGGACAACUCUUUCAAAAAUGAAAUACUACUUUAUUAUAAUUCUUGUUUGGGAUAAUUUUCGUUCUAGUUUUAAUUUUGGAUUUCAGGAGCCCGCCUGAAGAAUAGGGUGAUGAAAUAGCAAGUCAGAGGCCCGCCUGGAGAACAGAGUGAAAAAAGGAAAGUCAAGCAACAAAGUGAUGGGAUAACAAGUCAGGAACCCGCCUGGAGAAUAGGGUAAAGAAAUGAAAAGUCCAGCAACAAAGAGAAGCAAUCGAAAGCCAAGCAACAAGUUGAAAGAAAUUGCAAGUCAGGAGCCCGCCUGAAGAAUAGGGUGAUGAAAGUCGAGUCAAGAACCAAUAGAAGCUGUAUAGAUAGGAUUUUUGUAAUUUCAUUUUUGCUUUAGCGUGUAAUUUUCAUUUUUUGAUGUAAUGACAGAGCCGCGGACCGGAACCUCGAUGGAACCUCACUCGACUCUCGCACUCAGUAUAGUCCACUUCUCUUCCAAUCCUCUGAAAUAUCCAUGACUUGAUUCUCUCAUAAUUUGGGUAGGAAGGGUGUCUUAAGUCAAGACCCGAUGGUCCUUCUUCAUUCUGUUUCUUUCUUUGAAUAAUGGUCGGGUCAAAAUUUGGUCUCGCUGUCUACUUCUUUGCCUGAAAACACUUCGUGUUUACAUCCAAAGGGGACAUGAUGUAAACACCUAAUUUCGUCCCUCCCCGAUGUCAUUUUUACCCAUUUUAUUUUUACCCUACCGUGUACCAUCACCCAUGUUAUUGUACCCCCACAAAAUACAAGAAAAAUAUAACAAAAUCCCUAACAAAAUCUAUCCUAACUAAUUCUAUCUUAUCCUAACAACCUACCCAAUCAAAAUAAAACAUAUCACACCUACCCCCUACCCCACGUGACCUUACCUACCCUACCUUACCACUACCCACCCUCAAAAUAUAUACACACAUACUCUUACAAAAAAGAGGAAGGCAGGGAUCAGUAACCAAAAGAAAAAAAAGCAGAGGAACCAUCUUCUCCUUCAGGAACUCACGCACAAUUUCAAAAAAAAAAAAAACAAAUACAUACACCAUCAAGAAACCACCAUUAAAGCACACACAAACCUCACGAUUCAUACACACACACUUGCUCUAGCUGGAAAACACUUGCACGCACACACUCAGUAAGGAGAAACGAAAAAUGGAGGGCAUUUGACGGAAUCCGGCGAAGGAAUAGGGAAAGCUGCAAGAAAUCAAGCUUCUGUUCAAGCUUUUUCCGUCGACUUAAGUGCCGGACUCAGUUUCAGCGCCAGUUGUUCGAAUCAGUUUCAUCAUCGCCCAAACCUCUCCUGUUCAAGAUUUUUCCGGUGACUUAAGUGCCGGACUCAAUUUCAGCGCCAGUUGUUCGAAUCAGUUUCAUAAUAGCCCAAACCUCUUUAUUUUUCUUCGAUUUUCUGGACGAGAUCUAGCCGAAAUCCGACCGUUUUAGUUGUUUUUGGUCACUGCCAGUUCACUAGAGCUCCAUUUCUAUAGGAUUUUUCAGUUCUUUGCUGGAUUUAGAGCGCUUCGGGUUCGUUUACUUCGUGAUUCGUUCUUCGAUAUCGUGCUUCAGGGGGUUUUCCGUAAUUGGUUGGGUUCAGUAUUCAUGAGUUGGAGCUCCAUUCGUGGUGGGGGGUCCUUGUUCGAGAAUUUCAGCUUUGGAUUUCUUAUUGACUAAAAUAAGUUCUAUUGAGGCGGAGUGAUCGUUUGAACUUGGGUUCGGUGAAAUCGCUUAUGAGUUUUUGUUAUUACAAUAUUUGGUCUGAUGUGGGGAUUAAACCGAGUUCGUUAUUGAGGUGCGAUUCGAGGUUCAAAUUGAGAGUUUUUGGAUCCGACUUUGUCUUUUGAUCACAUAUUUUGGCACAAUAAAAGCUUCAAUCGAGGUCCAAUUCUACUCUUUUCCACUUCUAUUUUAUUGUUUACUACGCUUUUGGUAUUUGGAUUAAGCUUCGGGUGUUGUUUGAUACUUGUUGGUGAUGCAUGUAUGUUGUCUGGUUUGGUGAUAGUUUGUUAUUUUGAUAUUGACUCGUUGUUUAUUUUCGUUGAAAAGUGAUUAUGGGUCGCUGAAAUAGAAAUGGUGAGUUGUGAAAAUUUAGUAUUAAAAUGAAAUUUAGGGACGGGAAUCAAAAAUUGAUAAAAGUGAAUAUUAUGAUAUUUUUGAUACAUUGUUGAUGUUGAAUGCGAUAUGUCGUCGAGCGGGUAGGCAAACAGCAAGCUCGGGUAGGCAAGUUUAGGAUUGGUGUAGUGUUGGAAUGAUUGGAAUAUUUGUUGAAUGUCUUGUUUAUCGUAUUUGGAAAGUGUAUUUAUUUAACCGGGGAAUGCCCCGAGGUAAUUUGUAUUUACUCACCGGGGAAUGCCCCGAAGAAUUUUGUACGUUAAGGAUGGUCGUGAUCAAGGCCCGAGGCGUCGUGUAAAGCAUAGGAGUAGUUUAGGAUUAGCUUAGAAUAGAAUAUUUUCGCAUUUUUUAUAUUUUUUUUAUUUUUCAGGACUGUAUAAUUGAACUGGACAUUAUAUUUUGGAUUAUUUAGUUUUGUUUGCUUGAGUGAUUGUUUUUGGGUGCUUUGUGUGGUUUAUGCAUUUGUAAUGUCAAUUUAGCCGAUACUCUCUGCCAAGCGACCGUGGUCAAACCACGGGAUCGAGGGGUGCGUAACACCUUCCCCUCGGUCAAAGAAUUCAUUAUUCGGAAUCUCUACUCGCAAACUAGUUUAAAGAGUCAAAUGGUUUUGAAAAGGAUUUUCCAAUGGUGACUUGGCACACCAGAUUAUGCCAAGUGGCGACUCUGAAUAAAAAAUGUAAAUAAUCCUUUUCCGAAACAAAUUUUCAUUUCUUGUCACUUAAAUAAUAAAACCCUUUCGAAAUUAAAAAUAUAAAUCAUUUUGGAGUACGUAAAAAGGGGGUGUGACAAUUGCCUAAUGUAUAUGUUAUGCUGUCAUUGUACGAGUUUUGUAAAUUAAUGGAUAUAAUUGUAACAAUUCAAUUCACCUAUGGGGGUGUCUUUUUGUCAGACCCUAAUUUAAGGUAUGCAAAUGGAAUUCGUAUUCCAGAUAAAAUUAGAGUAGAUGUUGAUGAGUUUCAUGUUAUGUUGUUUCAUAACUUAGCAACAGAUUUAGAUGUGAAAAAAAUAUAAACCUUUUGGUGUAGAGUAAACAAAAAAGGCUAUUAUUACAAGUUAGAAAAUGAUGUUGAUGUUUUAAGCCUUAUCAGUAUUUUUAAAAAAGGAGAUUUAGUUGAUGUAUAUGUUGUUCACCAAAUUAAUGAACCUAUACUUGUUAAUGAUGAUGUGGCAGCCACUCCACCAUUGUUAGUACUUAGUAAUGGUGAUGUGGCAGCCCCUUUUGAACCUGAUAGGGUUGAUGUGUCUUCAUCUCAUCCAUUAGAUAUAAAUGAAGAUGAAUAUAUAAAUGAAAAUUAGCCUCCUAGGGCAGAAAAAGGAAAAGCUAAGGUUUCUUAUGAAGACUUAGGUGAAGGUCAAUUUAAUGAUUUCUACGCAUACCAUUUCCAAACAUCUGAUUCGGAAUUAGAUUUUGAUUGGACUGAUUUUGAUGGUGAUUCACUUUAUGAUGUUAAUGAAAACAUUGAAAAUUUGAGUGAUUUUGAUGAAGAGUUGCUUCAAGAUAGGAAGGCUAACAUUGAAAAAUAAGCAAAAGAAAAGACUGAUAGGGUAAAUCUAGAUGAGAUACCAUCUAGACCAGUAGGUAUAGAUGCUGGUUUUGAGGAUAUUUGUAAGAAAAAGAGGGUUAGAUAUGAAGGUAAAAUGGGUAGGGAUGACCCUUAUUUUGAUAGUUCAAAUUCGGGUAGUGACAUUAGUGAUAGAGAGGAAGGAGAUCCUGUUGAUGAUGAUGAAGUAGUAGAUCCCACUACCUAAAACUUCUUCUAGCAAGAUCUACUUUGAUAAAACUGCAAAGAAGGUAUGUUUUCAGUUGUAUAUGAUUUUUUUGAAUGCUAUUGAGUUUAGAGAGGCACUGCAGAGUUACUCUAUUGAAAAAGGUGUGAACCUUAAGUUAAAACCUAAUGAGAAGGAAAGAAUACGGGCUAAGUGUAAGCAUAAGGGUUGUCCUUGGGUUAUUCUUGAAAGUGUUGAUGACACAUAAUUUUUUACUGUGAAAACUUACUUCCCUGUACACAAGUGUUGUAAAAGGACAAGAAAUAAGAUGUGCAACCCUUUGUGGAUUAGUAAGCAUUACAAUGAUAUGAUUAUGAGUGAUCCAUCAAUAAAAUUGCAUCAGAUUCAAGCACUUUUAAGAAAGGACUAUGGGAUGUAUGUUAGUAAAACAACCUGUAGAGAGGCAAAAAUCAGAAUUAUGAAUGAACAUUUUGGUGAUUUAGUUGAAGAGUUUUCUAGGUUGUAUGACUAUGCUGAACAGUUGAGGACCACCAAUCCUGAUACCACUGUAUCUAUUAGGACAUCCAAAAAUGCAAUUCCUGGAAAAGAGGUGUUUAUGGGCAUUUACAUUUAUCUUGGGGCCUUAAAAAGUGGAUGGAAAGAGGGAUGCAAAAGAAUAAUUGGUUUAGAUGCUGCCUUUCUCAAGGGUGUAUGUAAAGGUAUCUUGUUGUCUUGCAUUUUCAAAGAUGAAAAAAUUCAAAUGUACCCUGUAGCAUGGGCUGUGGUUGAUAAAGAAACCAAGGACAUAUGGUCAUGGUAUCUUAGGUGCAUCAGCCAUGAUUUGAAACUUGAAGAAAAUGGGGGUGAAGACUUGACAGUAAUGUCUGAUAUGCAGAAGGUAUGACUCUUCAUAUGUUCAUAUUUUUCAGUUAUUUAUUAGUUUGUUGCAAUGAUGUCUUUAAUGUUUAACUACUGUUUUACAUGUUUUGAUAGGGUCUUCAUUUGACACUUACUAAUAUACUGCCAAACGCUGAGCAUAGAUGGUGUGCUAGACAUAUAUGAGCUAACUGGAAGCAGAUUUGGAGUGGUGAGGAAAGGAGGAAAAAAUUCUGGCAAGUUGCAAUGGCCCCAUUUGAAGUGUACUUGCAAAAGAAACUUAAUAAACUAAGUGAGUUGGGUGUUGAAAUUGUGGAAGAUUUGCUCAAGUACAACAAAGAGGCAUGAUGUAGGGCCUUUUUUAAGGAACAUAGCAGGUUCAAGACAAUUAUCACCAUGUUGGAGGAAAUAAGAUGCAAAGUCAUGGAAAGAAUGAAUCAAAUGAGAGAUUUUUCUGAAAAGUGGAUCAUUGAUGUAUCACCAAUGGCUAUAGAAGUUCUUGCAGAGAAUGGAGAAUAUGCAGCUAACUGUGAGGCGAGGUUUAAUGGUGAUAUGGGUUUUGAGAUUGGUGAUCCACCUUAUACACAUGUUGUUAAUAUGAAGAGGAAGCAAUGUAGUUGUAGGUCAUGGCAACUAAAGGGAAUUCCUUGUGCACAUGCAAUUGCUGCAAUGCAUUACAAGGGAUGUAAUGUGGAGUCAUUUGUUGAUCACUGGUAUCAAAGGGAAAUAUACCUAAAGGUAUAUGAUAAGUAUAUUCAACCAAUGAAAAAUAUUAACAUGUGGCCAAGAAGCACAAGACCAUCAAUUGAGCCACCUGAGAUUACUUUCAUGCCAGGAAGUCCAGGUAAAAAUAGAAAGAAAGCUAAGGAUGAAGCUGUUAAGAAGAAGUUUGGAAAGGCUACAAGAAAGGAAAAAAAGAUGACAUGUUCUGUGUGCAGGUGUAUUGGACACAACAAGAAAGGAUAUCCAACUUUGGUAAGCUAAAUCUUUUUUAAUUGAUGAAUUUUACUCUUUUUGAAUGUGUUUUUGAUCUUUCCAUUUUUUUUUUUGUAGAAAAAGAAUUCCAGUAGUAGCUGUGGCAGUCAACCAAGUAUGCAAGCCAGCACUAGUACUGCAGCUGCUGCUGAUGUGAGAGAUGUAAAUGCUUCAACAAUUGCUGAAGAGAUGCCUGUAGAUGCUAAAUCAAGCAACAGAAGGCCUGCAGGAAGGCCUUCAAAUGCUCACAGUGCACCAAGAUAUUCAGGAAGGCCUUCAAAUGCUUACAGUGCACCAAAAACAGUGGGUGUUACUGCUACACAAUCUACAAGUCAGCAGUCUACUAGUGGUAUUGGUGCCCAAAAGAGGAAGACUAGUACAACUUUGAAAGGUAGUGCAAAUGUGACAUAUAAAAGACCAAGGCAAAAGAAGCACGUUUUGGUGUGCUGUUUAGACCAAGUGGCAGUGUGGUAGAUAAGGUAAGUUUCAUAUAAUGUACUUUACAUUUAACUGAUUUUAGUUAGUGCAUGAAUAACUUUUUUUUUUACAAUCUGGAAAUACUGAUAGAGUAUUGCAUAGUCCAACACUUAUUAGUUCAGUUCCAACCAAUAUUAACUUGGUUUUCAAACCAAAUGGACUAAGGUGGAGAGGUGGAGCUGCAGUAACUCAAAGACAGCUACAACAACAGAGUAACAAAAGAUCAAAGGCAAAAUUAUCUACAACCACUCAAGCCACAUCAAACACUCAAGCCACCAAGAAUCAGUCCACAACAAGAACUCAAGGAACACAAUAGUGUAAUUCUCUUUCUGUAUUGAUCCCAAGUGUUGUUAAGAUAAUUUUUUAAGACAUGGUUCAUUUCUCAUUUAAGAUGUUGUUAAGACAAGCAUUUUCAUGUCAACUCUUGUUAAGACAUUAUAUAUUGCACAUUUCUAUGUUAGCAAUGGUGUUUGUCAUUGAAUUUUAAUUUAAUUUCAUUGUACAUACCAACUACAUAGAUCAAGCCAUCUUAAAUAAUACAACAGAUAGAAACCAGAUGACAACAAUAAUGAUAACAGUGAUAUCAAUACUAAUUCUUGGUCUUUCACUUCCGUGUCUUCCAUAUCUUUCCGGUCCUUGUUGUCUUCGUUGCCUUCGAUGUCUACCUUUAUAUUGUUCAUUUUCAUUGGCCCAUCGAAAGAAUCCACAACCAGUACCAACCUGAUAUUUUUGAUAGCCCCAAAACAUUAUUCCAGGAUUGGUUGGUGUUCUUGACAUCUUAAGUUCCGCGUAAAGUCCACAGUAACAAAUUCGAACUGUCAUGGUAUUGCAAAAAAUUACAUAAAAAAUUAAAUUUCCAAUAUUACAAGCAUAGCAGGAAAAAAAAAUUAAAGCACAAGAACUUGAAGAGAGAAAAAUGUAGAAGAAAGGAUGAAAAUAAAGUUGUUGAAACAAAUAAGGAAGGAGUAUUUAGGUAGCAUUUAUAGUGCACUUUUUGACCGUUGGGGCCCUUUAUUAAUUGGCUGACGCGCGGCUGGAGUGUAAAACACACGCUCCUAUGUGGUCCCAGCCACAUAGGAUGCCACAUCAGAAAUUGUGUUUAAAAAAUUGUUUUUUAAUGGAUUCAGGGGUUCAGAUGACAAACAUGUAAGUAGAAGUGUCCAACUUACAAAACUGAUAUAGUACAGGGGUCCAGAAGAGCAUUUUGCCAAGGAGUAAUAUAUGCAUCAAAUCGCAUACUUCCUCAGCCCUCCGUCCCAUUUUACUCGUCCCAAUUUGACAUUGUACAGUGAUUAAGAAAAAAUAAUUAAUAACAUGGCUACUUUACUAUAGUAUCUCUAUUAAAUGAUAUUUAUAUUUUAAUUUGGAGAUAAAAUAAUUAAUACUAAGGGUAAAAAGAAAAAAAAAUUAUCUUGUUUUGAUUAAUGAAAAAUGACAAAUAAAAUGAAAAAUAAAAUUAGAAAAUUUGGGACGAGUAAAAUGGGACGAAUAGAGUAUAAGAAUGUAGAAUGAUGGAAUUGGUACCAUGCCAACCAAUUAGUUGAUGGUUUCUUCACGGAAACCAACUUUUAGUUUAACUAACUAAUAAAUUUCUAUUAUAUAGAAGAGGUGGUUUCGACCACCUCUCAUGCAGUUACCAAAAAACUUCUUCACUCUCACUUAAUUACAUAUCAUGCCCCAAUAUAUAAUAAUUUCAUUGUUUCAUCAUAAUGAUUUAAAUUUUUAAUAUAUUCUAUUAAUUUAUAUUAAUUAAUUAUAACUACAUAUUGGAAGUAAAAAAAAUUAUUUAUUUAUUUAAUUGGCUAUCAUGUUCAAAACUAAUUUGUUACCACNNNNNNNNNNNNNNNNNNNNNNNNNNNNNNNNNNNNNNNNNNNNNNNNNNNNNNNNNNNNNNNNNNNNNNNNNNNNNNNNNNNNNNNNNNNNNNNNNNNNNNNNNNNNNNNNNNNNNNNNNNNNNNNNNNNNNNNNNNNNNNNNNNNNNNNNNNNNNNNNNNNNNNNNNNNNNNNNNNNNNNNNNNNNNNNNNNNNNNNNNNNNNNNNNNNNNNNNNNNNNNNNNUUAAUUAAUUGCAACUAAAUAUUUAAAGUAAAUCAAUUUUAUUAUUUUAAUUGACUUUUAUAUAGAAAAUUAAACUUUUUAUUUAUUUAUUUAUUUUAGUAAAUUUAAAUUUUAAAAUUAUUUUUUUAUUAUAUAUAAAUACUAAUAUUUAAACUUAACUUUAAAAUUUUAAAGUACAAAAUUAAUAAAUUUAAUUUAAUAAAAUAAUUUUUUAAUAAAUAUUUUCUUAAAAUUUGUGUUGGGCCAAUAUGUAUCAAGUUAAAAAAUAUAUAUAUAGUGAAAUUUUAUUAUUGUGAAAGAUAAAUAUAAUGCACUAUCUAAUAAUGUUUAAUAAUAUCAUAUUUUUCAUAUGCAAAUAUAGCAUCCCGUAUUUAAUCAAUAUACUAUUUCGGUGAAUUAUCGACGAUUACUACUGGAUAUGAUAAAAUUAUAUUAAUUUUUAUAAUAACAACAUAAUCAAUUGCUCUUAAUUAAUUAUUAUGAAUCAUCUAGAUAUUAAGAAAAUAAAUAAUAUUUAAUGAAAAAUAAAAUAGACAUAAAAUGCGAAAUUAACUCUUAAUAUUUUAAAUUAAAUUUUCGUCUUUCGAACAAUGAUUUUACUAUAUCACUCCUUAUUAUAAGUCAUUUAUGUAUUANNNNNNNNNNNNNNNNNNNNNNNNNNNNNNNNNNNNNNNNNNNNNNNNNNNNNNNNNNNNNNNNNNNNNNNNNNNNNNNNNNNNNNNNNNNNNNNNNNNNNNNNNNNNNNNNNNNNNNNNNNNNNNNNNNNNNNNNNNNNNNNNNNNNNNNNNNNNNNNNNNNNNNNNNNNNNNNNNNNNNNNNNNNNNNNNNNNNNNNNNNNNNNNNNNNNNNNNNNNNNNNNNNNNNNNNNNNNNNNNNNNNNNNNNNNNNNNNNNNNNNNNNNNNNNNNNNNNNNNNNNNNNNNNNNNNNNNNNNNNNNNNNNNNNNNNNNNNNNNNNNNNNNNNNNNNNNNNNNNNNNNNNNNNNNNNNNNNNNNNNNNNNNNNNNNNNNNNNNNNNNNNNNNNNNNNNNNNNNNNNNNNNNNNNNNNNNNNNNNNNNNNNNNNNNNNNNNNNNNNNNNNNNNNNNNNNNNNNNNNNNNNNNNNNNNNNNNNNNNNNNNNNNNNNNNNNNNNNNNNNNNNNNNNNNNNNNNNNNNNNNNNNNNNNNNNNNNNNNNNNNNNNNNNNNNNNNNNNNNNNNNNNNNNNNNNNNNNNNNNNNNNNNNNNNNNNNNNNNNNNNNNNNNNNNNNNNNNNNNNNNNNNNNNNNNNNNNNNNNNNNNNNNNNNNNNNNNNNNNNNNNNNNNNNNNNNNNNNNNNNNNNNNNNNNNNNNNNNNUUAUAUAUAUAUAUACUAUGAAUAAAAAUUUUCAUGAUAUUUUCUUUAAAAAAUAAAAAUUACUACAUAUAUUCAAAGGACAAAAGAGUAAAAACAUCCAAGAGAUAAAUGUAGAGAAAUCAAGAAGCACUAAAUGGAUUAUUAACAUUUAUAACAUUCAACACAUUUCUAAAUGUUUCCAAAUUCUUCUUGAAUCAACACAUACACAUAAUAAAAAUAAUAAAUAAUAAUAAUUAUAUUUUACUAUAUCAACUCUAAUUAAUUAUUAUAAUUAUUUAAGCAUUGUGCCACAUAAGUUGAAAUAGAAAAAAAUAUUAUAAAUCACAAUGAUAAAAAGUUUAAAUUAUUUUAAAAAAUAUAAUUGGCUAUCGUCAACACAGAACUUUGUACAAGGAGAGUAGCCUAUAUUAUUCAAAAAUUACAUAAAAAGUAUUAUUAUAAAUUACAAUAGUUAACAACUUAAAAUAUCUAAAAACAACUUAAUGUAUUAUAUAUUUCAAAAAAAUUACAUGAAAAAUACUAGAAAUCACAAUAAUUAACAACUUAAAAAAUUUAAUAGAUAUAAAAUAUUUGGUCGACUCUUAAAAUUAUAUUAGUGUCACUAAAAUUGAAAUAGAAGAAAUGUAUUAUAAAUCACAAUAAUUAAAAACUUAAAUUAUUUUUAAAAUAUAAUUAACUAUCAAUGCCACAAAAAUUUGGACAAGAAAAGUAACGUAUAUUAAUUUGAAAAUUACAUAAAAAAUCUUAUAAAUUACAAUAGUUAACAAUUUAAAUUAUCUAAAUACAUAUUAAAAUAACAUAUGUUGAACUCAUGCUAGAUUUCGCAUGAAUCCUAGAAAACAUAUGCAAUCCUUUUAUUUAAAUAUAUCAAGAUUGAAAAAAUAAAUAAAUAUUUUAAUGUUGAACCCGUGCUGACAGGGGUCAUGCUCCUCUAGUGCUAGUACAAGUUAAAGGCAAGAAGGGAAUAAGCUUUGGACUAAGGCUUUUUGACAAACCAUGGAAUUAAAGUUUUAAUAAAUACCGCUCGCAGAAACAAUGCUAAACAAUGGCCUGGUUUUAACUAAUUCAGUGGGCAUUAUCUUAUAAUGCUAGUACAAAAGAAACCCCUACUACUACUAAUACUUUUCAUGGUUGAAUUUUAUGAAAUGUUCAUGUUAAUAAACCGUGUUUAUAAAGGAUAUUAAGUAGCCGUUUGAGCAUAAAAAUUAUUUUAUUCUUUUGGAAAAUUAUUUUAAUUUAGUGAAAAAAGUGAAAACAAGAUGCGUUUGGCCAUGAAAAUUCCAAAUACAAUUUCGGAAUUGUAUUUGAAAAAGUGAAAACAAGUUUUUAAUUUUUUCACUCAUACUUCUUUUACAAAAUUUCAAAAACAACUUUAAUUUAUAUUCAUGGUCAAACACAACUCCAACUUCAACUCCAAAAAAUUAUGAUUUUCAUAGUCAAACAGGGCCUAAAUAAGUAAUCGUACUUCCAGUGUACUCUAGCUAGCUCAUUUAAUUUGAUUUUAUUCACACUUUUUUUUUUUUAAAAUCACUUUGUUAUAAGCACUGCUUCAGGUUUGACCAUCAUGCAGCUUAUAUUCUUCUGGUAUUUCAGCAUAUAUAGUGAGGUCAAA
rnacentral:lncRNA from 1 species